AGCGUAUCCCCCGGUGAUCUACUCAAUCUCUGUCCUCCCAUAGGCUGUAUCAGGUGUCAAUCAUAGAAAACAUGAACCCCCUAAUAACUUUUAAAAAUGGAGCUGUACAGAAAAAAGAGGACUUGAGCACAAACCAGUCUUACAGUAACUACAUGUCAACAUUACAACUCCUGAUCAGAGCUGAGAUGAUUCUUCACAGCAGGUGUCAGAGGUCAAAGGUCACUGACAGAGCUACACGGCAUUAGUGCUGAAGAUGAAAGUCGCUCUAAAGGACGAACAAUAGAUAGAUAGACAGAUAGAUAGAUAGAUAGACAGACAGACAGAUAGAUAGACAGAUAGACAGAUAGACAGAUAGAUAGACAGAUAGACAGAUAGACAGAUAGAUUGAUAGAUAGAUAGAUAGAUUGAUUACUGGAUCCGUUGGUGAGGUGAAUUUCAUGCGGAUUACAGACAGCAGUAAUUGUGAGAACUCACAAGAACCCACAGAUUCACGUUCAAUCUCACGAUAACGAGUUGUCUCUCUAAAGACAGACACAUAGACAUAUAAGCAGUAGAUUGUGUCCUUCCAGAGGAGGAAAUCUACUUCUAGACUUCUAGAAUCAGCAUCUCCUCAUCCAUGGUGUCAUCGGGGUGAAAUGACGUCUAAAAACCUUUCACUUGUUCGUCUCCGCCCGUUUGCAUGGUGUGAAAUAUGAUCCUCCUGAAACACGGAGUGUUUUAUUUUGAAAAGAAGCCGGAUGUUUUAUUUUGAAGUCUGUGCCCGACUUCCUUUCCAGCACGGGUUAAUCUGUGCUGAAUUUAUCCGCCACGCUUGGUUACGAUCGGAUGAUACGACCUUUUAGGAGACGAUGAGGAUGAAGGUGGAAGUUUGGGGUGACAGGAGAGUCAACCUGAACCUCCAGUCAUGCUGUGUCUGUUUUUUUACAGAAGGACUCUGACUUCUCUUUAGAGUUAUUAAUGAGACAGGACAACAAAAACACAGGACAGCCCCUCAGAGGUCCAGACUUUUUCUUUCAGAGUCUGUUUCACCUGGAUGUGAAAUCUUAAAUCCAUAACUUUGUUUGCUUGUAAAGCCGUGUUGUUGUUGUUGUCGUUGUUGUUCUUCUUCUUCUUCUCGUCCCUGCUGGCUGUUUCCUGGUGUUUACAGUCUGAACGCUGAGCUACAUUCACCUGCAGGUACAGGUCUGUCGGACUGAACGCACAGACAUACGAGUUGUAGAUGUUGUUGUGUUUCCAUGUUGUUCCUCUAAUAAGACAGAAGCUGCAGACUGGACCAGCAUGUAAUUAAAGAGAAGGAGAGGGUGAGGAUGAGUCCAGAGGAUGACUGCGAGGCCCCUCAUAAUUGAUAACAUCUGUGCCUUUAUUUCAGUCUGCUGAGGGCGAACUUCCUCCUCCUCUGUCUGCAGCACUAAUUCACAAUUCGACACACACCGAACUACAGUGAGGCGCACUUUUCAGGGCUGUUUUCAGCUGAACUCACAACAUGGUCCAUCUCUGCCUCUGCUUUUCAACUGUCAAGGCUUCCCCAUCAAAACCCCGGCGCUGCUGAAUGAGAGCGACAGCCGAGCGCUGCAGACUCAGGUGUGGUUUCACAUCACUUUAACCUCAGACGGCGCUGCAGCUACCUCAUCUCCUCCGCAGACGAGCGGCUCAUCAACUUUUCCUGAGACGUUUCAGCCGCAGAGGAAAGUGUGGAAACAAAGAGACCGAAGUUCAGCUGCUGCUCCUCUCAGGCCUUUUGUCUCUCUGUCAGAGCCGCAUCGAUUUUUCUGCUGACUUUAUAGACAGCUUGGAAUAUUAUUAGGGGGCGGAGCCACAGCGCUCACAGUGUGUGUAUGUGUGUGUGUGUGUGUGUAUUGACAGAUGGUUGUCAUUGUAUGAAAGCUGGUUUGCACAUUCAUGUAAUGGAGGCAGAGAAACACAGCAAACAUAUGCAGCGGACAGCAGGACUCGCUGACUGGAACUAAAGGAUGCUGCUGCACGUUCACAACGCACGCCAAACACACUCGGACCGCCGCCAUCACAUGCACGCUCGAUAAUAUAUGAGCAGCGUGAGCGUGUGACGCAGGUUAGUGAGGCUCAUGCGUAAUAACAUGUAGAAUAGAAACUGAACGUCCUCUCUGAGGUCGGGGUCGUGGUCUGACAGGGGUUUGAUUCUGGACAGUGAGGGAGGUCAGGGGUCAGAGAGAGGGAUGAUGGGAGUGAGGUCUGGGCGUUAGUUAAAACCUCAGGAUACAUCAUCACUAAUACAGGGGUCUCACUAAGAUACGUGUCAGGAUACAAUGUCUGUGUCGUCAACAUUUGAACAUUUUUGAGCGGUCCGCUCUUUCUGACUGUAAACAAAGCCGUUCUCCACCUCCUCUAACCUGAUUGGUUGUGAGGCAGACGCUGCUUCCCCGUGUCGUUCAGGAGUCCAAACAAAGUUAGCGUGCUACAAUAUCGGACAGUAGAAACCAACCAGAAAGUUCGGAAAAUUGUCUGAAUCCUCCUUUGGACACGACUGCCGACACAAGCAAGAAAACACUCAAACAUAAACAGUCAGCAAGAAAACAGUCAGCAAGAAAACAGUCAACACCAAACCGGUCAACAAGAAAAUGGUCAACACCAAAACAGUCAACAAAAAACAGUCAACAAGAAAACAGUCAACAAGAAAACGUCAACUAUAAUCAGUCAACAAGAAAACAGUCAGCAAGAAAACAGUCAGCAAGAUAACAGUCAACAAGAAAACAGUCAACCAUAAACAGUCAACACCAAAACAGUCAACAAGAAAACAGUCAGGAAGAAAACAGUCAACAUCAAACCGGUCAAAAAGAAAACAGUCAACAAGAAAACAGUCAACAAGAAAACAGUCAACCAUAAACAGUCAGCAAGAAAACAGUCAACCACAAUCAACAAGAAAACAGUCAACAAGAUAACAGUCAACCACAAUCAACAAGAAAACAGUCAACAAGAAAACAGUCAACCAUAAACAGUCAGCAAGAAAACAGUCAACCACAAUCAACAAGAAAACAGUCGACAAGAAAACAGUCAACCACAAACAGUCAACACCAAAACAGUCAACAAGAAAACAGUCAACAAGAAAAUGCUGCUCCCCCGUGUCGUUCAGGAGCCCAAACAAAGUUAGCGUGCUACAAUAUCGGACAGUAGAAACCAACCAGAAAGUUCGGAAAAUUGUCUGAAUCCUCCUUUGGCCACGACUGCCGACACAAGCAAGAAAACAAAGUAAAUACCGGAGACUCUGGAGGAAUAACGGGCGCUUAAAACGGAGGUAGACCGGACAAGAGCUAAAAAGCCGGGUCAACAUAAACGAUGGGGGACGCUUGGGGAUCUUGGUGACCCUGUAACCUUUCUGCUGGACAGGUAAACCGCUUUAACAAAGUAAGACAAGUGUCUGUAACAGAAGUGUUUCUUGUCAAACGGACCUGCUGUAGCGUGUUGUAGCGCCAUCGCUAAACUGUCCUCCCUCAGGUCCUGGACUAUGUCACUUUAUCCUCGUUGUAGAAGUCCUGCAAACAUUGACGAUUUGAGCUUAUAAACGAAAACUCGAGGCAGAGAAAAUUCCUCCAUCAUUUUUUGUAAUCGAGAUACUCAAGAAAUUGUUUCAGCGAUCAAAACAAUCAAAGUUAUUCAGAACAGGCUGUUACUACAAAACCAGAAUCUAACCUUCACUGAUAACAUCAUUACAUGUUAGAUUAGUGUGAUUUAUCUGAGGGUUAACCCUGACCAUAACACUAACCCUCAUAAGACCAAUUCUGCUCUGUUUCUGAAGGUAACUUCAUAUCUGAGCGGAGGAAAGUUACAGGUGGAGUUCCCCAGGGCUCCAUCCUGGGUCCUCUUCUGUUCUACACCUGCAUGCUUCGACAGGCCCGUAUCAAAGACAACAACAGAACCAGCUCAGCAGCCACAAACACAGAAGACACACAUUUAUAAUGAUCAUAUGAUGAGGACACAAUAAACUCUCCUUCCCUCUUCACCACAGCGGCUCUUCUGCUCGAUCAGACCAGUGUUUGGUUAAAGUGGAGAGUGAGGCUGUUGCAACAUACUGGUAAUAAAAAAGGUUCUUUAAAGAAUUAAAUAUUAACACUGAUUAAACACAUCAAGAAGAAAAAAACAUGAAGAAGAAACUUGAAAAACUCAGAAGACGAUGGAAACAGAGAAGCAAUAAUGAGAGUCAGUCUGAGCUCCACCAACUCACUCUCCAUUAGUCUGUGUUUGAAUUCCUGUGUGUGUGUGUGUGUGUGUGUGUGUGUGUGAGAGAGUGAGAAGACCCCCACCCUCCUGCUGGCCCCGCCUCUCUGUGCGCAGCAGCCUAACCGUUCCUGACAGCCAGUGGCUCAUUAGAGCUGCUGUUCUAUGUUCCUACGUCCGACCGCUCGCUCCCUGUUUCCUGGACCUAACCCCCCAAACAAUCCCUGUGUCCGUGUGUGUGUGUGUGUGUGUGUGUGUGUGUGUGUGUGUGUGUGUGUGUGUGCGUCAGCUGGCUAUACUCAGGCCUGAGUUCGGACAGGCGCAGGGGACAGGGAGGGGAGGGAGGAGGGGAGUCAGGGCCUUUUCACCGGCACAAAGACAUAAUUAACCAAAUUGGCAAAUAGUUUGAGAAACCGCCUCCUGACCAUUGUGUGGAGCCUUCGGUUACCAUAGCAACCCCGAAUUUGCUUGUAUUUUAUGUGUGUGUGUGUGUUGUGUCGGACGACCAAAUUAAAAGUCACUAACGAUUAUCAACCACAUCAUCCAGGACCACACACACACACACACACACACACACACACACACACACACACACACACACACACACACACACACACACACACACACACAAACAGAUUUUUUUUAGCUGAGUCAUCUUCUCUCCUUAAAUUACCGUAAAUUCUGUAAUAUAGACUGUUUCCUUUUACCGCAGGAUGAGUCAGGCCUUUAUAUGAAGCAGGCUUGUAUUUGAGGCAGGCCUUUAUUUCACUCUGAGUAAUCAUAAACUAUUCUUGUUUUAGAACAAAGUGAGGACCUGAUUCACUAAACCUGUGCAAGAUUAACCCCCACAUCCAGAAUGGCUCCUAUCCGCAACGGCGGCAAAUUUUGCCGUCCGCCAAUUCCUACCAGAUCUGCACUCACGCGAUAACGAGUUGUCUCUCUAAAGACAGACACAUAGACAUAUGAGCUGUAGAUUGUGUCCUUCCAGAGGAGGAAAUCUACUUCUAUACUUCUAGAAUCAGCAUCUCCACCAACAUUAGUCCUGAAAGAAACACUAUCGAGCCGACAGCGCAGUCUUCAUUCAUGUUGUCAGGAUCAACUCUGAGUGAUGAGGUCAGAGCGUGAAGUUAGGGCGCCACGACACACGACCAAACGUUAAAAACACCAACGAAUCAAACGGCGAAGAAUCAGCUGUUUGUUUCUGAUGUGAUAUAAAGAUGAUCACAUGACUGUCACCCUCAUGGCUUCACACUUCUUAUCCAUCCCAGAGCUGUGUGUGUGUGUGUGUGUGUGUGUGUGUGUGUGUGUGUUUGUUAUUGUGUCAGUCAGCUGACUCUCUGUGAGUCAAUCAAACAUCGAUCACUGUAACAGUGGGACAGACAUCAAGGACAAACUGCGUGUGGAUCAAUAAAUGCACGGCUGCGCUGUGUGCGUGUGUGUGCGUGCUCGUGUGUGUGUGUGCGUGUGUGUGUGUGUGAGGUUGGAGCUGCUACAGAAACUAAAACACUCGGUAUUCAAACCGCAGCUGCAUAAGACAUGAGUUUAUCUAUCAAAUAUAGAUUUCAGAGCCGCAGCAGCAGCAGCAGAAGUUGUUUUGUUCUAAGUUUAGUCCAGAGAAAGUUGCUGCUGUUUUCCCGGAGUUACUGUAAGGUUGCGAGGUUUGUGUCUGUUUGUUUGUUUGUUUGUUUGUUUGUGUGUCUGUCUCUGCGUUGCGCUCUUCCUCCCGCCCGCCCGCCCGCCGACUCCAGCCCCGUUUUGAGGUUACUUUCUGUAAAGUUGUGCCUUUUGGCACCGAGCAGCGUUGUGGUUUGGGAGCUCGAAGCUUGGUUAAAGAUAAACUUCAGGUCUGACUGAAGAGUUCACUCUUUCUCGCUCUCUUCCCCUCCCUCUGUCUCUCUCUCUCUCUCUGUUUCUUCCCCUCCCAUCCCUCGCUCGGCCCCCAGAGUCACAACAAGAAGCAGCAAACAGCUUGUGCAUCGUUCGUACCAGGAGAAAAUGCCCCAUUUUCAUCUGUUUGAAUCUGACAUUUUUGGCACAUUAAAUAUUGGACAUUAAUAAAUUAAAUGUAAUGAACUGACAUGAAAGGAGAAAAAAGUCCAAUGGUACAAUGCGAGGAAGUAUAAAAGGCAAGAGUGCAAAAGGAGGAAGCAAAACAACAACUCCAAAGAAGGCGCAAACUUUUUUUCUUUAAUUCCAAUUAACUCUCGCCUUCUGCAGCCAUCGGAGAUUAUUUUUCAUGUUCAUUUAUUCAAACAAAUAUUGAAUAAUUUAUCGCAGUGGGAAUAACAACACGAGGAAUCACAGCUCUGGGUGCUGGUGGAGGAGAGAGGCCCGUCUGUGAGGAGGAGAGAGGCUCUUCAUUAAUACGACUUAUUGGUCAUUUAAUCUAAUUAGACCUCCGCUGUCGGUUUUGUAAGAGUGAAAAAAUCAUCACAGCUGAUCAUCUGUGACCAGCGCCGCACUCACUUCCUGCCUGAUUGGAUUUAUGUGGCGCUCUGAGCUCGGUCACAUUAUCUGUAACAUCAUCUCGUGUACCUUUGUGUGCUCAUGAAUAUUUCACACCUGUACUUAGCGUAGGUGCUGCUCCUGUCUUAUCUGUGUCAGUGUGUUUAUGUGUGUCGCUGGCCUGUAUGUAGGUCGCUGUAAGUGACACCCGGGGUCACACCCCAUGAUUGUGUUGCAUAACAUUUGGACUUCCACGGGUCUCUGAGUCCUCCUCUCUCCGCCCAUCAGCCCACCUUUAAAUCCACCUGCUGACCCACGGCGCAACGAUUGAUCGAUUUUAGAUCCUAAUCGGAUUAUUUAAUGAUGACGAUAUUAGAAUCAGAAUUGUCCAAUCGGUUUUCCUCUCUAUCACGUCUCGCGCCUUUCGGCCACCGUAGGCUCCUCCUUCCAUGCGGUUCCCACACACACCAGUGUAAACAAACAUGGCGUUUGUAAAAGAAGGCGAUAACUUCAUGACGAGAGCGAGUCAGUUGUGUUGAAACGACUUCACAGUUUCAGAUGAAGAGCAAACCACCAGAGAUCUGCUGAUCCGAGAGACGGCGGCGGCUCUCAGGUAACCAGACUUCAGGUGGUGCUCCAAUUAAAUAAUCAAUCAAUCUUUAUCCAUACAGCGCCAAAACUAAACAAACGUUAUCUCAAGAGGCUUCACAAAAAAAAGACGUGAGGAUGAGAUAAGAUCGAGUCCCACUCUGAUUUCAUCUUCAUUUAUCAGCCUUUAGAAAGUCACAGAGGAGAGGAGAACCUCCUUUAACGGACAGAAACCUCGAGCAGAACCAGACUCAUGGUUUUAAAACCUUCACUGACUCCGCCCCCUUCACACCGCCGGACAAUCUGGUGAGAAGCUCUUUAAAACCGUCUGGUAAUCGGCCCCAAACCUGCAUGUGAACCCUGAUCUUUAAAUAAACUUGUGAUACCUGUGAUCUUAUUUUUAUUUUUACCAGAAUGAAAAAUGUUGAAAAAAACAUACAAACAAAAAAAAGUCCUUGAGUCUGAUCUACGGCCCCGAAGGUUUUCAUUUUGGGCGAUCACGGUUCGAUAAGAUGGUCAUAAAAAUAAAAUCUCUCUCUCGGCGCAUCGAUCAUCAUUCCUGGAUGUAAAUUUCUGACAUUGUUCAGAUUUUUGAAGGUUUUCUAAAACAUCUUUUCUGCUGAAGGACUCAGAGCAGAGGAGACUCUCAGGUUUUCAGUUCCUCAGAAAUAAACUCCAUGAAUAUGAACAGCUGUGGUGUCUCUCUUCAUGCUGACCCGCCUCAGGACCAAUUAUCUGUUUCCUCUCUUCCUCCAUUAGAGGUCCGUGAAGAGCUGACAGGUAGACACGAGACCAAUCAUCCGUCCCCAAACUAAUAACAGCAGCGACCACGACUGACAACACGGCGUCCAAUUUACAUCGACGUCAGCGUCACAGAGGAGGUUAAACCGGCGAAGACAGACGAGUGUGGAGACCGUGAGGGAGAGGAAACCUUCAAAACCUGAAACUGCAGAAGUAACGUGUCACAUGACCUGUUACAGCCAGAACACAUGACUCAGUAACACGUUACCUGGUCCGACAGGUGAGUUAACCCGACAGAGAGACUCGGUCUGGACCAGAACUCUGAAUAUUGAUCAGUGAUCGAAGGAGAUUUUAGGGUUCAGGUUUUCUGAAAACACUCUGAGCUUCUUCGUCUUUUUCUUCGUCUUCGUCUUUUUCUUCGUCUUUUUCUUUGUCUUCUUCUUUUUCUUCUUCUCCUCCUCCUCUAUCUCUCCUGACUUCACUGACAGCUUGGCUCCACCACUGAGGUGCCAAAAAGUGGCACCAGAACCCCAGAUCUCCCUCCUCCACCCGUCCUCCCCGCCCAGAACCUCCCCGUCACCCUCCUCUGGAUCGAGUCCCCCUCAGAGGGUGAGGCCGGGUCUACACCGCUGCGAUUACAGAACCAGAAGACACUGGAGUCCUACGACCAAACCAGAGGGGAGGAGGGGAGGAACGAUGGCGGCGGAGGAGGAGGGGGACGGAGGAGGACUUCAAAAACCAACAACAAUAACAAGAAAACAAACAAGAGAAAAAAACACAAGUGAGAGAAGAAGAAGAAGCAGCAGCAGCCAAGGUCCUCCGACUAAUUAAGACGAUGAGCAUUUCUUAUUUAUGAGCUUUAAUGAGCAGCUUUUCAAUAGUUUGUUUUUGCCUAAUAUGAAUAUUUCCUUUUCAUUAUCGAACACAGACGAACUCUCUCAUUCUUUCCAAUAAUCACAUCCUGGAUUUUCUCCUCCGGAUUCUUCGCUUUUAGUUUCUUUGUUUCUUUGUUUUUCUGCAGAUGAACUUCGGAGAGUUUCAAAGAUCCAGAGAGUCCGAGGAUUCCACGGCCUGAGCGGUUAACGCCGAGGUUUGAGUUUUAGAGUGAUUAUUAUCACCUGAGAGAGAGAGAGAGAGAGGGAGAGAGAGAGAGAGAGAGAGAGAGAGAGAGAGGGAGAGAGAGAGAGAGGAAGGCUGCAGGGUUUUUUCAUUUUUAUCAUUUCUACAAAGAUCAUUAAAUUACACACGGACAGAGAAGUUCAUUCAUCAAAAAUCUCAUUUAUGUGAUUCUCUCAGUCAGACUGAUAUUUGUGGACUGAUUUGAAGACCUGAAGCAGAUUCAAACUGUCCUCAGUCCACAUGCAGACCUGGACCUGGACCCUGAACAGGAUAAAGUCACGGCGGUACGAUGGUGUGAAAACCCUGAUCCGGUCUCAGACAGACCUCCUGGAUAAAAGUGUCUUUCUCACACUAACAGGCAGCCGUUCAUGAUCAGGUGUUUCUCCUCUUCUCUGUUUUUAACCCAUUAUGAGUCACAGAGCGCCAAAAACCGGCGUGCAGCGAGGGCGGAUUGAUUGUUUUCAGCAACAUUAUCAUCCCCACCAAAAAAGGAGACACGAUCGAUGAUCAGAAGUUCAUCACAGUCGUGUUUACCUCCCGCUGAAAAGACCAACGAUCCUCUGAUCGUCAUUAAAACCAAAUCAUCAUCCAGACAAACCGGGCCCAGAGCCGGAUCCACUCAGACCCCCGUGGGUGAAAACCAGGAGAGGGAUCGAUGUGUGUGUGUGGGGGUGGGGUCAAUCUACAGCAAUUCAUCUGUGUGUGUGAGUGUGUAUGAGAGAGAGAGAGUGUGUGUGUGUGUGUGUGUGUGUGUGUGUGUGCGCGCCCUGUCUCUGAGGCCAUAUGUUCGACUGUAAUUACACACACUCUUCCUCUCUGUCAGGUUGGACUUCCUGUAUGUUUGUUUGAAGUAGGUUUGGGUGAUUCGGUAAAAAAAAUGAUCACGAUAUAUUUCGUCAUAUCGCCGAUCUCGAUUAUUAUCACGAUUUUUCUUUAAACUGUCAGUUUUAAAUCAUCUGAACUAAACACUAAAGAAACUGGAGAUUAGUUCAAGAUUUUAUGAACAUACGAAGUCAAUAAAGAAAAUUCAAUAAGAUAAACAGAAAAAUAUUAAAAACAUUUUAAUUCAGUAAAACAAAUGUAGAUAAAAACUAGAUAACAGUGAGCUUGUUCACAGUCUGAGUGUUUCUGCAGGAAUGAAAGAAAAAUAAACAAAUGUCCCCUCAGAGAGAAUGAAGACGCCUUAAACUGUCAACAUUAGAUGAUGUAAACGUAGAUGAGAUGAUUGAUUGCUUUGGUCUGGUGUCUGUACCGCUAGUUGUAGCUAAACUGCUAAUGCUACUCGUGUUUUCAGCAGUGACAGGCUGUACAGACUCCGCCCACAUUUUCAUACUUUCCUCAUAAUCACUCGGACUAACCGCCGACAUACCUUACACAUCGGCUUAAUUGCUCAACAUCACUUUGGAGAUACCUGAACCACCGCCACACAACCGACGAUCAAUAACUUCUCAACAAUAACAUCUUUGGAGGAUGAUAAAGUCACGGCUGACAUCUAUUCUGCUGCCCUCAGCUCCAUGUUCGGUCAGUCUGUUUAUUUCUCCUUACAGAAGUGAGCAGGAAAAGCUCGACUCUGAUUGGCUGUUGUGACCCAAAUUUCCACCAUGUUUGAUCGGGUAAAUACGCUCACGGCUGAUCACCGUGAUCGAACUGAAACUUAUCACAAUCAUCGAUCAUGAUCCUAUAAUCGCCCAGUCCUCGUAUGAAGUGUGUUCUUCUGUGUCCAACCUGAAACUAACUUCACCGCAGUAUUUACAGGAAAAAAAACAUUUGUUUCCUCGGCGGAUUUGUUUUUUUGCACAUGUGACCCUAAAUAUAUUUUACAAUUCACACACAUCUAUUUUUAGUCAUAAAUGUGAGUGAAACAGUCGCACUGUGGAGUCCUGGUUUAGGUUAGGACAGGUCUGAGUCUGAUCCCGUCUUUACAUCAGAGUCUGAUCUAGACCAGCUUUUCUACGUUAAACAUAUUUAAGAAAACUCUCGUCGUGAAAUGGCGAAAUAGACCCCGCCCUGUAGACCCCACCCUGUAGACUCGGCCCUGUAGACCCCUCUCCACAUUAAGCCCUUCUGUGCUGUGAGUGAAUUCAUCAACUGUGUGUCCAUAAUUUCUCUGUUUGGUUUUGAUGUGAUUUAUUCUGUUGUGUGUUUUCUGUGUGUGUGUGUGUGUGUGUGUGAGGGUGAUGAGUUGUGACAGGUGUUGUGGCCGCUAGUGCAGUGGGAGGAGGCGGGGUGUUGGUGGGGGGGGAGUAAACGAGAGCAACACAGAUGAUUAUUUAAUUACUGUCUAAUACUCCGCACCCCUCCCUCCCUCCCUCCCCCUUUACUCCUCCUCUCUCUAUCUUCCCCUUCUCUUUCUCUCCCACUCUCUUUGCCCCCCAGCCCUCCCCCACCACUCACACACACACACACACACACACACACCUCCUUCCUCCGUUUUCAUCCUUUCUUUAUUAAUGAACAAUCCGGGCCUUUCUACAAAUCCACCGGGGCUUACUGCACCCCCCAGACACUCUGUGUGUGUGUGUGUGUGUGUGUGUGUGUGUGUGUGUGUGUGUGUGUGGUAAAAAGGGGGGUCUAGUAGGCUUCUCUCUUAGGAGGAUUCACACAAACACACAGAAACACACACACACGGAGAAACACAAAUUUCCAAACCGAUCAGCGCCUCUACCUUCUGCGUCUUACAUUGCCUUAAAUUAAUGCAAGCAGGAUACGUGUGUUUGUGUGUGUGUGUGCGUGUGUGUGUUUGUGUGUGUGUGCGUGUGUGUGGUUUGUGUCUAUGUUACUCAGAUCUUUUCCUUCAUGCAUGUAUAAAGUAGAAGUUUGCAAACACAGUUUAGUCUCAGCUCACCUCGUCUCGGGCCUGUUACACACUCGUGCAUGUGUGUGUGUGUGUGUGUGUGUGUGUGUGUGUGUGUGUGUGUGUGUGUGUGUGUGUGUGUGUGUGUUCAGGUGAGUGUCAGUGUGUCAUGUUGCCGCUGACAGUGACAGUGUGUGUUGCGUCACUCUAACCCAGUUCUGUCCUGAUGGCGGUCUGCAGGAGUGCAGCGGUUGUGUAGAGUGUGUGACGCGGCAGCAGGUCCUGACAGUCUGCAGAAACAACCGAGAGGAGAUCAGAAGAGGGGAUGGAGGUCGCCACGGAGACCGCUCUCGCUUUACAACACCACCAACACCACCACCAGACCGGCUUCACUGAGAGGAGGAGGGAACAGAGGCCAGUGUGUCAGGGUGAGAAAUAAAGUCGAAGUGAUUUAUGAUCCAGAAAAGUUAUAAUCAAAGUCGAACACUGAGAACAGAAGAGAACGACUGACUGAGAGCGAGAUCACCGCCUACUGAUGACCAAAACAACAACAGCUGAUGAUUAAACAGCUGAUGAUUAAACAGCUGAUGAUUAAACAGCGCCUACAUGUCAUAACACAGUGGUUCUCAAGUGGUGGGUCCGACCCAAAAGUGGGUCACGUACAUGUUCUGGACAGGUCGCCAACCGCUGGUCAAAAAGUAAAUAUUUAAUGCGUAGCUGAUGUUUGACAUGUGUUUUAUUUUGAAAAAUACCUUAUUUUGAAAUGCAUAAAAGUCAAAUUUUUAAUGUUGUUGGUCUCCAUUUUGUGUAAUUUGAUAUUUUCUGUAUAUGUAACUUCAGUAGUUGUCAUCCUCAGUUCAUGUGUUGUGUAUUUAUGUUAAAUAUAUAUUUACGCCUUUUUUAUCAUAGCUACUUAAAGAUUUUAUUUUCUUUUUUAAUUAAUUUGUUUGGUUUGAAUUCUAUUAAAGUGGGUCGCCACUAAAGGAUUAUGGGAAAAUGUGGGUCCCAGAGUGAGACACGUUGAGAACCGCUGACAUAACCUUCAGUUUUAGUAGAUCUGACAGGAUACAGACUUUCACCUCACCGUCAAACUUCAAUAUAACUCAUAAAACAUUUGAAUCUCAGGCUUUUAUUUUGAAAUUCUACAUGCAGACCUUUGGUGACUGAUUUAAGGUCAUCUGCAGCCUCAGUUCGAUUUGACAAAGGGGAGGUGUGACCUUCUCUGAUCGCUGCUCUGGUUCCUCCAUCGUCUCUCCUCUGAACCUCUGAGAAGUCAAUAAUAAUCAAUAAUCUGAUUCAUGGUGAUGAUGUCAGAGCUCACUGAUUGGUCAAUAUUAAACAAAUUCAAAUCUGUUUUUCUGAUUAAUUAUAAACACAGAACAGUGCUGUGAUAUUUUUUUCUACUUCUUUGAUAAAAAAGCUUUUAUUUUGAAGGAGACGCCAUUAUUGAACCUUUUCAGUGUCCACUCUGUCUCCUCUCACCUCACCUCGCUCUUCUCACCUCACUCUCUCACCCCUUUUCUACACCUCACCUCUCACCUCACCACUACAUCUCCACACCUCCCUCCCCUCGCUCCCGCUCCCACUCCCACUCCUCCCCGUCUUCCCCUCGCCUCCUUCUCCCCUCGCCUCCCUCCCUGGUUAAUAAUUCAGCAGCCGUGCACACAUGAGUGGUCAUCGGCCAGCUUCACAUGAGGGAUCUGGAGGACAAAUGAACCAGAAGGGUGGAGGAAUUAAAAACUUCCCCACGGCUCCACUACAGGGCCGGAGGAAUCUGCCGCCGUCUGUGCGUCCUUUCCCUCUCCUCCCCCGGCCGCUAAAUGUUAGCACGCCUUUUUCUGGGUGGGGUGGGGUGGGUGGGGGGCUUUAAAUGCUAAGUAUGCCCUGAGUGGGGAGGUUGCAGAGUGGGGACCGCCUGGUGACAUUUUGUCUCUUCACAGAGCUCGUCCCCCAUUAGAGAUCUGCAGAGACCCGCUUUGUGUCGGCGUGGACGCGCUGGUCUCAAAGACAAACAUGCGAAUGAUAAACACGAACACGGUCCAGCACGCCGACAUUUACCCGUGUGAAGAAAGACGCUCAUGAAUAAAGCAGCGCCCUUUCAAAAUAAAGUACAUUUACAUGAUUUUCCUGUAAGGACUGAAUGUUACAGAGAGGGAUGAACUUCAGGACCUAAAACAGGAGGGGGUGAAAAUACGUGACGGGGAUUCAUGUGUUCAUAUGUUCUAUAAUGUUAAUGUUGAUGAGUCAUCAUGUCACAUUAAAAUAUCACUGAUGUACCUGAGAGCCAAGCGUCCCAAAAACUGGACACGGUCUCUGAGGACCAUCCCCCCUGAAGUUUAAAAUAAGGGUUAAAUCGUGACGACACACGACCAGGAGAUGGAAGAGACGCCAAGUUAGACUGAAGGAUGCUGCGUCUCCAUGGUAACCACUAACAAAGCCUCCGUUACCAACCAAAUAUUGGGCCACCGUACCCGAAUAAUAACAGGUCUACUGUUGUUUUAAUCAAGUCCAGGACCAGGACCAGGCUGGAACCACGUCAUGAACCCGGGUCUGUCCUCCAUCGCUUCAGUCAUAUUUUAAUCCCCGCCCCCUCAGCCGUCAGGACUUUUACUACAUCGAGUCUAACUUCACAGCUCAGCGCUGUCACUUCCUCAAACCAUCUAUCCUCCAUCUUGGCGAGUUUGAGUCCACGCCGCAGAGAUGGCGUGUUCUCCAUCAUGGAGGGCGGCCCUCAUUCUCUGUUGACUGAACCUCGUUGUAAAUAAACAAGGACAAGGAAGGACGAGUCAGCGACAGGCCGACUGAGAGGAAGAGGAAGAGGAAGAGGAAGAGGACGAGGUGUGAUCUGUUCCUACAUCCUCUGGAUUUCACCACGGCAACCGUCCUGUCAGUCAGAGCGCCAAGGAGCAAGCAUAUGUCACAGCACGGUCGCUAUGGCAAUGACAGGCGCACUGAUGACUCAAUGUGACACAUGGAAAUACAACAAACAGACUGCAGGCCCACAAACACACACACACACACACACACACACACACACACACACACACACACACACACACACACACACACACACACACACACACACAUGAGUCAGAGAGGCGCUGAGAGACAUGAUGAUACCAGACAACACAAAUAAAACAACACACUGGCAUAUGCACAACAACAGCACACACACACAGAGCGCACACACACACACACACACACGCACACACACAAACAUUUAUUAAAGGAACGACUGAACGUCCCUUUAAAUCAAACAGGAAGUCAAAUUAAUGAACCUCAUGGAGUCAAGAGGAGCAUUAAAGGAGGGCGCCCUGUAAAAACCACAGAAGAAGAAGAAGAAGAAGAGCGGCAAGCUGGCGUCACUCUGAGGCAUCAUGUGACAUCACAGGGUGGAGCAGGAACAGCCAAUGACACGCUGCCAAAGCACAGCACAUCAAAUAAUGCAUAGGUUAACACCCUGAGGAUGAACACAACUACACACAACUACACACACAUGGACCUGCAUCACACACACACACACACACACACACACACACACACACACACACACACACACAUAAAGACAGCUCUGUCUAAAGUGUGUGUGGUUCAGUGUUGGUCCUGUCAGUAUAUGAUCCAUUUUUGCUUCUUUUUAAUAAAUUUGACAUUUUAAUAAUAAUAAUAAUAAAACUUUAUUUUUUUAAAACAUUUUUAUUUUAAUGAAGAAUUAAAAAACUGUCAUCUGAGAAAUCCGACGCUCUGACUCUCCACAAGUCGUCCUUCAGGUCUUUAUCUUUGUAAUAUUUGUGUCUUUGAUCAAAAAUCACUCUGUUCUCCGACACGUAAACAAUCAGCCGGUCGGCCAUGUUGGAUAGACCGGUGAAUCUGACGUCACAACAACACGCAAUCUGAUUGGUCAGAAGUGGACACACAGUAUGAGAAACUUUAGAAAAAUCGACCGUGAACCAAAAAAGUAAAUGCAGUAAUAUCACAGGACGGGAAAACGUCGCUGAUGUGACGCUUGUAUUGACAGGAUACGGGUUAAAAAGAAUAUUGACGUCUGAAAUAAUCGCACAGAAAAACGCUCCCGGUGUGAAAGGAGCUUAAGACUCGAUAACAACAGUCAUCAACUGAUAUGCAAGAGACACAAGAACUCCGCUGCACUCGGUGAUCGACUCGUCAGGGCUCCCUCACAAAUGGGACAUAAAAAACGCUGUGCACAGAUGCUGUCAGGAGGACAAAGAGCAGAAAUAUGGAUGCAAAUUAAAGUAUUUGUACACGAUAUCGAUGCAAAGUUUUCAAUAUCAUACCAACAUCCCGUGAUUUCCAUGUUCUCCAGACGCUCUUUACGGAGUUUAUGUUAAAUGUUUCUCCAUCCUGUCAAUCCUCCAUGAGGCGUUUAUUAUUCCAGGCGAAUCAAACAUGGAUUUAUAUUGUUGAGGAGACAAAGCUGAAGAGUGGAUCACAGAGACGAUCUGAAUAGGAAACAUGAGCUCAGCUCUGAUUUUUCUUCCUCCACACGAACAAAAGCAGCAUUAGUGCAGAGAGAUGAGAAACACUCGUCUUUCCCUGUUUUUGUCCGCCUGAAUACAGCGAGUGUAACACUGAUGCCGCUGUGCUGAAGUACAUGGAUAUGGUUUUUGUCAAUAUUUGGCAGCAGCAGCAGCAGCAGCGGGUCUGCUCGUAAUCUCACAGGUAAUCUUAGACGGGACACCUGCUCCAUUGUGGAGGAGAAAAACCACUUCUACUGUCCAACACCUCCAGGAAACCCGCUGUGAAGGUGUGAGGACAUGAGAACGGGUUUUUGGACUUUAUCUGUUCCCAGAAAGGUGGGUCUGCCGCAGGUGACUAAACCAAUCAGGACAGACCCGUUUAGGAGGACACGUCAUGGUUUUGGGUGAAGAGGCUCGGCUGUGGAGACUCUCAGUGUCCGGGUAAAGUGUCAAGAGAGAGGGGACUUGUGUCCACGUUGGGUCCAGUGGGUGUGCUGGUUUAACGAAGAGGCGUGGUCAAGGUCAAAGGUGAUGCAAGGUGGUAUUUUUGAGGAAGCAGACCCACAAAAACCUGGUCCGACUUUAGAGAGCGUGUUACUGAAACAAGAGUUCACGUCAAAGCCGCGCUCGCUCUCAUGAGGUCUCUUGUUCGUUUCUCAUUUUGCAAUCGUUGUUGUUGUGCCAAGAAACGCACGCCCACCGAGAACUGCAUCCACCUUGCAAAAACGCGCACCACUCAUAGUCGAGUGGUCCAUGAAAAUGUACGAUUUCAAACCCACAGAGUUCUUAUUUGUUGGGAUAAACAGUGAUGAGGAAUGUUUCCAAAGUCAUUCCCGGCGUUUCUUAGAUACAUCGCCAUGACGACCCUCAAACGAUAUAUCGUGCAGCCCGACACACAGCUCAGGGGUUUUUGUCCAGUCCUCAUUCCUGCCAUUUUUAUAGAGACUAAAGAAACCAGAGGGAGACCAGAGUCCACCAAAGUCCACCUUCAGGGCGAAAGUAAACCUGUUUGCAGUCUGGUUCAGACAUGGUCUUGGCUCGGUGGUCCGGACUUUCAGGUGUUUCAGGGCUCGAUGUGAGGGACCAGAGUUCAUGGUGCCCUCUCUGUGUUUUAGGGGUCAGCACCUUUAUUUUCUCUCCUUAAACAGCGAACUUUGGUCGGACACGCCUGUUAGAUCAUCUCCAUGUUAGAUGGUUUAAACAGAAAUCCUCUGAACCGCCGGUUCACCUUCUACCUGGAUUUUCUUUCCUGAUGUUUAACUUGAACUUCAGCUUCGAGCAGAAAUUCUUUCUGUGGUUUGAAAAGAAGCUUCAUUCAAAUUUCAUGUGGUCUAAGUACAGUAGGAGAGAGAGAGAGAGAGAGAGAGAGAGAGAGAGAGAGAGGGAUGGAGGGAUGGAGAGAAAAGCCCUCACAUGAGAGCGGAGGAAUGAGCUUUACAUGUAGGUUUGUCUAGACACUCAGGGCAUCUCCGGCACAAAUGGAGCACUUUACAAGACAGACCCACCCACGAGUCUCAUCCUCUGAACCUCCCUCCAUCCACACACACACACACACACACUCACACACACACACUCCUCUUACUAAAAACACACAUCUUCAUCACUAUGAUCUGUCUGUUUCAGAUUGUCUCCUCGGGCGAUGGGGGGAUGGGAGGAGAGGGGAAGCCUUCGCCACAUUCCUUCACUGACACGCUCCUCUCUGCUUUUCUUCUUCUUCUUCAGCGUUCAUCGCCGUUGUUGUUGCGUUCGUUUUGAGGGGGGCAGGGUGGCGAGUCCUCUCAGCUCGAAACCGUGUCAGAGGAUGUGGACGAGAACUCGACCUUCAGAAACCAGAUUAAAAAUGACCUUUUACUCGCCAUCAGCUGUCGAGACGCCCGGUCAGAUCUCUGUGACGUGUUUGGUUGUGGAGGUCGUGGGGUCGCUCACCUGUUUCCUGUUUAUUAGUCAGUCUGUUAACGUUCACACAGCCCUGCUUUAAUCAACAUGAGGAGACCAGAGUCAGGGACCCUCCAGUAAGAUGAAACCUGAUUGGUCCCUGUCAGCAGGUCUGAUGGUCUGAUGGUCCAACCAGUGACAUCACACGAUCUGAUUGGCUGUGGGUCAACAUCACAUGACUCACACACUUUAAACUUUGGAUGUGACGUCAUUUCCAGCCCCGACUUCUGACUUCCGAGGUCUCUCAAACGCAGCGUAUGGUAGUCAGUUUUGACCUGUGUCCGCCAGUACGGCAACUCCACUGAGACAAACUACCUCACAGCGAGGAAACUCCGGCUGUAAACUACCUGACAUACAGCGGAUCGGGAUUAAUGAACGCUGUCAUACAGUCUGGUCCCUACAGCAGCUUGAAACCCUGAGAUUUAGAGCUCCCCCUGCUGACCGGCUGCAGAACGGGUCAUAAAUUCUGCCAACAGAGACGCAAAGAUUCGAUCUGCACGUCUCAUAAAUUCGGGACGUUUUCUUCGUGAGCGUGGACGUUUAAAAUCCGACAGUCGAGUUUAAUUGAGAGUUUAAAAGUAAAUUAUAGUUUUUAUAAAUAUUUCCCUCCACAGAAACCGAAGGAGGCGAAUCACAGAGAGACGAAGUGUUUGGAGAGGAAGACUGAUUUACCUGCAGGUUCAAAUUACAGACGGUGUCAUAAUUGUUAGUGCGUGUCGGGGUGUGUGUGUGUGUGUGUGUGUGUGUGUGUGCUGCCAGUACAAUGAUUGGGGUUAUCCAUUAUUGAUGAUGUCCUGAUGAGAUCAAUCAAGCCUGAGUUUUCUCGUCUUUUGGCUGCUGAAGCUGAUAAUAACGCCGUUAUGACAUACUAAUCGUCAUGUCAUGAAUAUUUAAAUCACAGGGAACACACGCUCCAUAUUCAUGACCUCUCCGUGUUUUUGUUGUGCUUUUUUUUCUCCUGCCGUCUGGAGAGACACCCCCCAUCAUGAUUCUCCCUCUUCACUCUUUCAUUAUCGAGCCGCUCAUGUCUUCAUCUUCUUCUCUGUGUUUUAAACUCUGGAAGCUCCUCGUCAGUUUGCACGCCGGCGCUCUCCUCCUCAGCCGUGACCAGACGUCCACAGAGGACCGAACCACAUCUCUGCAGCAUCCCCAUCUCUUCUUCUCCUCUUCUUCUUCUGCUGCUGCUGUAUUGUUGUUUUAUUUACCUCUGAGACAAAGAGCAUAUUUAUUCAUGACUCACACAAAGUGCCUGUAAAAUAAACAUUUGUUUCCUCCUAAUGAAAAGCGUGUUUCUGAAAUGAGUUGUUUUGUUUCCUGCUCGACCCCGAAUAACUCGCUCUGGAUAAAACAAACGUGUUUGUUAAUAAAAAGGCAAUAAUGCGAUGGCUUACAGUGUAAAUGCAUUUGUUCCAGCAACUAUCCUGUGGAGGCGCAUCAGUAAUAAUUCAUAAACAAAAGAGCUAACUGUGUUCAUAAUUCAUAAGAGGAGAAACAUAUACACUCCAGUCGACGACGACGCUGCUGCAGCUCGCUGGGCCGGCGUGCGGCAAACGAAGUGUCCUAAAUUAGAGUUUGACGAGAAGAAACACGAGGAUGUUUUUUUUUUUUAAAGAGGGAAAAAAGUUUAAAAAGUUAUUAAAAAAAUAAUAAUUCAACAAAAUCUGUAAAAACUUUAAAAUUUCCUGCUGCUGAAAAACUAAAACUCACGAUUCUUAAAGACUAUAAACAUGUAAAUAUGUUAUCAGACAGACACGGACGGACCGACGCUCAGAUCACAGGUGUGUGUGUGUGUGCAUGAAAGUGUGUGUGUGCAUUGUGUAAUAAAUACUCUUUAAAACACUCACACAUCAGUUCAUAAUAAUAAUAAUAAUAAUAAUAAUAAUAAUAAGAUCGUCGUUUAGUUUCUCCUCUUAGAUUUCUGUGUUUGUCUUUAGUUUGUUUCUGUUUCUCUGGGUCUGAAGCUGCUGUCUGCUAACACACACACACACACACACACACACACACACACACACACACACACACACACCCAUCACCCCCUACUCCUGAUAGGCCAGAGGGGUUCCAUUAGCCCAGACCACCUGCUGUGAAACACCCACUCAUCCUCUCUCCCUUCACUCGCUCACACACACAUGUCCACACACACACACACACACACACACACACACACAUGUCCACACACACACUCAAGCUCACUCUCACGCACUUGUGCAGAAACCUCCCGUCCUCCCUGACUCACAGUUUCUGUCUGCCGAGUAUCAAACUACUAAAACAUGGAGUCUGUUUUUAAUGUUCUUCUUACUUUACAGCCUUAAAAUAAGUGUUUGUGUUUCUACUGCAGCCAAAGGAAGAUUAUCUUAUAUAAAAUAAUAUUAUAAUAAAGAAUUUAUGUUUCUAAAAACUGAAAAUCUGAGAGAAAUGUUUGAUUUCAUCGUUUCACUCGAUGUCAGUAAAAUAAUUUCAACAAUCUCAGGAAGACUCUGUCCUUCAGUCCUUAAACAUUUAUGCGUUUACCUGCUGAGAGGAGUCGUAUUUCAGAGACUGAGGGUCUGUGUUUACACUGUUAAGUAACAGUGAAAACUGCACCUCACUGAGGGCCGUGCAGAGAGAGACCGCAACGACCGAACCAAAGAGUGUCGGGACACAGACAUCGAUCAGAUACAGAGAAACUUCUGUCCAAACCUCCUCCUUCUCCUCCUUCUUCUCCUCUUGUGUCCUCCUUCCUUGUCCUUGAAUUUCAUUUCUCUGCACCCCUCCUCCUCCCUCUCUCCCUCCCUCUCACGCCCCUCCUCGGAUCAGCAGCCGUGGAGAAGACGAGGCGAUGCGCUGCAAUUACUCUAAUUGGUUGUGACUUCUUCAUUUACAUGACAAGUGCACGGCGGUCCUGGGAACCAACGGCCUGCUUUCUGCACCCUGUCGCAGCUCUGGUCAGCCCGGGACCUCCGUCCUGUGAGCUCCAAGAGGGGAGGGGGGGACUAUGAGGAGACAAAGGGGGUCUGGCAUUGGAUGGUUUGGGGGUUCCUCGUGGGUGCAGGGGUCCCAGACCGCAGGAGUAGGUGAAGGUUGUGGAGUGAUCAGGAGGAGGACUCUGAGGAUCUGACUGGUGAGAGUUUUGUGAGAAAAGUGGUGAUGAUGAGAAAAGACGAGACAGCAGAUCAAGUUCAGACGCUCGUCCAGAUCUGAGGCUAAACCCUGAUCCUGAAGUCCCCGUGUCCCCGGGUUAGGGGGACUUGGGGGAGUUUUACUCCUUCUGGGGGGUUGAGGGUGGUGGGAUUGUUGGCUGGACGCUGAACAACAAUGUUGUCUGCUUCUCAGCAUUCCUCCUGCUCAUCGUCACGCUGCUGCUGCCACCUCCACCGCCGCCGCCGCCGCCGCCGCCGCCACCCCAACAGGGCAGCAAUCUCAAACUGCGAAACUUCUCAUUAGCGUGGCUGCUGCGCACAAAUGCCUGUACACACACCAACCCUCUGUCUGUGUGUGUGUGAGUGAGUGUGUGUUCUGCAGUGUUAGUUUAAGCAUGAUGAGUGUACUCAGCUGAGCCAUUCUUAUGCUAAUCCAGGAGUGAGGUAUUCACUCUGGUGGGCGGCUCUCAUGUUUGCUUUGCAGAUAAAAAGGAGGUUUAUUACCAGCUAAAGUUCACUUGUCAAGACUAAUCUCAUUUAAACAGCCAGAGAGCCUGAACACACACACACACACACACACACACACACACACACACACACACACACACACACACACACACACACACACACACACACAUUACUCAGUAUGUCUGCAGUAAAUCACGGUUUCUUUGAGAACAUCUACACCUCCAUCUACUGUGAUCAAGAAGGAGUGAAUCAAACUCACCGACAUGAAACUACAAAUCAUCGAGAUUUUUAUGGUUUUCAGAUGAUUUCAAACCAACUUUGUCCAACAGGUUAGUCACAUGACUCUGGAGUGGGAAUCAACGCAUGGAAAGGACAACUGGACUUAGUCGGAAACAUCUAAACUGGACUUAGUUGAGACGUUUCGAACUAAGUCCAGUUGUCCUUCCCAUUUAAAAUUAGAAAUCACUCAGUCCGUUUCCAUGACACUCAAGAAAACUGAAUUAUCGCCUUAUUCCGAUAAAGACCGGACAACUGAAGGUCAUGUAAACACCUUAGUCCGACUGUAAUCAGAGUUUGAGAACUCCGAUUAAGACACCAAGAUUUGAUUUUCUCUACCAUGUAACCAGCGUAGUCGGAGUAUGAAGCCACGCCCCCGUAACCCCGUAACAAAACCCCCAGAGUAGAGGAGUAGCGUUGGUCUCAUCUUUAGAAAAAGUAGCGCGUCCAUCAUGUCGGACAAAAACAACGCUGUACGAUGCUCCAUCUUCUUGUUUCUCCAAAAUGCCCAGCAGCAGUUGUAGACACUUCUGAAUACGAGGACAAGGAGAGAGUCUGAUUCAGAGAAAAAGACGAAUUAUGAGUUUAGUCGAUUAAACUGUGACUGUAAAUGUACUGACUGACAGCUCAGAGAAUCACGAUCAAUCACGUCUAUUACUUAAAAUAUUUUAAUCACCUUUGAAUAAAAAACUUCUCAGAAAUGUCCUCCAUCUUUGACGGAAGAUAAAUGUUCACAGACACCAUCCAAAGGUUACUGUAGUUCAUCAUCAGCUGUUUGUUAACUGGUUCGUUGGACUGAAAAUGCUUCCCUUCCCUUUCCUUUAUUCGGCAGAGUCCGAUCUUCAGUCGAUGUCUCGGCUCGGACUUUAAACAGAGACCAGAUCUUUCCAACACUCAGACUCGGUCCUUCACUGACAGAUUUUGUAUUUUGAUGAGGAGUUGUUCUCGCUCCUCCUGGGGGAUCCUGAGGCGUUCCCAGGCCAGAUGAGAUUAUAUUCCCUGCAGCAUGUUCAGCGUAAACCCCGGGGCUGAGACCAGUUGGACAUGCCUGGAAAACCUCCAAAACAGAGAAGGGGGACCAGGAGGCACGCUGAUCUGAUGCCAAAACCACCUCAACCCUCUCUUUGAGCCGCUCCACUCAGAGCUGCAUCCAUAUGUCUGAGGUUAGGGUCUGACGCUGUGAGCGUGCCCCGAGUUUUCACUCAUGAAGCUGUGCCAACGCCAUGAUGGUUAUCACAGAGCCUCACUGAUGGUUUAUGUGGUCAUCUGAAGAUUUAGAAACAAUCAGGUAUCAACAUUUCUGACAGAGGCUAAGGUAAGCAGCAGGCCGGUCCGUUAUUCCCAAUUUUCAUGGCUCCGGAAGAGCGGCGAUUUUUGUUGUCCGUGAAUUCCUUCUGGGUCUGUUUAAGAGGCGAAUUUCAUGGUGGAUAACAGACAGUGGUAAUCUGAGAACUCACAAGAACCCACGGAGUCUCUAUGAAGACUGACACAUAGACAUAUAAGCAGUAGAUUGUGUCCUUCCAGAGGAGGAAAUCUACUUCUAGAAUCAGCAUCUCCUCAUCCAUGGUGUCAUCGGGGUGAAAUGACGUCUAAAAACCUUUCACUUGUUCGUCUCCGCCCGUUUGCAUGGUGUGAAAUACGAUCCUCCUGAAACACGGAGUGUUUUAUUUUGAAAAGAAGUUGGAUGUUUUAUUUUGAAAAGAAGCCGGAUGUUUUAUUUUGUGUCUGUGCCCGACUUCCUUUCCAGCACGGGUUAAUCUGUACUGAAUUUAUCCGCCAUGCUCCGGCGUCCAGAAAAAAUAGAACUCUUGUGAUCAGCUGAGGAGUCCGGCGAUCCGCAGAGGAACGGAAAGAAGUCGGUGUAAAUUGACACGUUAACUUGAAUGGUUACGAUCAGCUACGAUCGGAGGAUACGACCUUUUAGGAGAUGUUCCGGUGAAAUUUGGGGUCACCAAGACAACAAUAAACUCUGAAGACAUGAAACUGUUUCAGUCUGCCCCUGCUGGAUGUUUCAGGAACUUCCUCCAACCAGUCGGUUCAGGCUUAUCGGACCGUGAUUGGCUCUCAUGACCAACAAAUAAAACACGAUCUGACUUCCAGCACCGUGUAAACUCAGAUUAACCCUUCACACUGGUUUCAGGUUUUAAAAAUCAAGAUAAUAUAAAAAUCAUAGAUCUUUACACUGGUGAGGACCAUUGGCUUUUGGAGGACAUAAAAAGAUCUCCAAACAAACUCCUGUCAAUCAUGUCGAAAAACUCCUCACAGGAGCUUUAACUGCAAAUAGAUCUCUCACAUAGAUCACAGCUCUAUAAUAGAAGCUGUAGAACAUGUUCAUGUAGAUCUCUCACAUAGAUCACAGCUCUAUAAUAGAAGCUGUAGAACAUGUUCAUGUAGAUCUCUCACAUAGAUCACAGCUCUAUAAUAGAAGCUGUAGAACAUGUUCGUGUAGAUCUCUCACAUAGAUCACAGCUCUAUAAUAGAAGCUGUAGAACAUGUUCAUGUAGAUCUCUCACAUAGAUCACAGCUCUAUAAUAGAAGCUGUAGAACAUGUUCAUGUAGAUCUCUCACAUAGAUCACAGCUCUAUAAUAGAAGCUGUAGAACAUGUUCAUGUAGAUCUCUCACAUAGAUCACAGCUCUAUAGUAGAAGCUGUAGAACAUGUUCAUGUAGAUCCCUCACAUAGAUCACAGCUCUAUAGUAGAAGCUGUAGAACAUGUUCAUGUAGAUCUCUCACAUAGAUCACAGCUCUAUAAUAGAAGCUGUAGAACAUGUUCAUGUAGAUUCUGUGAGUUCGGAUUAGAAACUUCAUGACUCCUCUUUUAUUCGUCUGUCUGUUUAAUCUCCUCUGUGUGUCUGACCCUCUUGUUCCCCCCUCUGGUGAUCUCCACAGGGUCUGACCUGACGUGAGGUCAAUGAUGUCAGUCUUGACCUGUGGUGACCCCUGUGAGGACCCUUGACCGCUGAGAGCUCCAACAAUAGAGUGUCACCCUCGGGGGUGAGGAAGAGGAGAAAAGGGACCGUGACGAGCGGUAAAACAAGUCUUAAACUCACCUCCUUUAUUCUUCUUCUCUGAUGGUUGGGGUCUGACUCCGGGUUCAGGUCCAGUCCGGGUGUUUCCAAACAUCAGCGCUCGGUCGUCUGAGGAGGUCACUGAGACUCUGAAGCUGGUUAGGAGACAGGAAAUAAGAGAAGGAAGGAGGAAAGGAUGAGUGUAGGAGUGGUACCUGGAUUAAAGUCAGUGCUCUUUAGUGUGUAACCUCCCCAUGUGAUGAAUAUCUAAUUAGACUUUUUUUUUAAUACACAUCGUAAAAUCCAAUUAGUCCACACAAAAUCAGAACAUUACUCUCCCAAGGUGACAAUAGAUUAAAAUAGAUUGGCAAUUUCAUCUGAUCCUGUAAAAGAUGCUUCAUCUCACUUUUUUCUCAUUAAUCUGCCGCUGUCAGCGCGAGCGCCGUAAUCACUGAAACCGGCGCCAAUUCCAGGCCCACAUAUCAACUUCCUGUUCGAUGGUUCGCACCGCGUUCAGAAACACUCAAAUACAAAGUCUGAGGGAAAUCUAAUCUACAUUUAUGUCCUCAGGACUGUUUUAUUAUGUCUUAAAAAAACUAAAAGGUUUAUUUUGUUUAUUUAAUCAGUGUUUAUGUUUGAGAAUCAAAUAUUUCAUUUGAAAAUAAAUACUAUAUUUUGUUUUAUUUUGUCUGAUGGCGACACUAUGACUCCCACCUUAACUAGUCUGAACUCUGCAGGUGUCUUUUUGUUCACAUUACUCAUAAUCUAACUGCAGUUCCAUGAACGCCCACUAGAGGCUGGCUGCAGAAGCCUUAAAAACCACAUACACAACCAUUCAAAAACACGCUAAUCAUUAUAACUGUAAUACAGUUUCAUAAAAUCUGCAUAUUUGUCCAGUUUAAUUAGGUUUUAAAAACUCUACAAACAUCUCUUUAUGUUUCUAGUAUAGAUAAAAACAUGUGAGUUACCUGUAGACUUGUAAUUUUGCACUUAACCAAGAUUUCAAAAGUCUUUAAAAACCAUCUUUACAGCAUAAACAAACACGUUUACAGCCUGCAGAGCCGUGAGUUUAGUGCUGUAAGUCGAGUGCUAAAGUCAAAGGUACAUUUUCUAAAUUCCUUAAAUGUAAACACAUUUUUUGGGGUUAAAAAACGAGCUUUUAAAUGAACUUUUACACCUUCAGAGUCUAAUAUUUCAUGUCCAGACCUGGUUGUGCAGGUUAGAGCUGAACAGACGAAACAGAUGUAAAAGGUUGUAGUGCAGAGUGAACUGAAGUUAUUACAGUAAACUGAACUUUAAGUGUGCACACACAGGACCCAAUCAACUCUUCAUAUUUAAGUCACUAAAUUUAACCAUUUCAGUAUUAGAGGAUUGGUUCUUGGUACCGAUAAGUGAUCAGUGUCAUACAUGAGUGAAAUGAAGGCCGCUGAAAAAAAGAUGAUUUAAUGUUUUCAUGUGCAGUGGACCGAAAACUUCAGCUUUAAACUUGGAGACCAAAUCUAGUCCUGCUGCAAACUGAAUGACAGUAAGAGUCUGAGAUGCAUUCCUACAAACUGGGACACUGGAGCAACACGUAUUUUAUAUAUGUUAAAUAUUACAUAUCGUGUGAUUUUUCGUUUCUGUGUUUCGUCGGAUCGUCUGAUAAAGAUGAUAAAAUGUUCAUUGAUAACUCAGAGGGAAAUAACUUCUCAGGUUGAACUUUGAGGGUUAAACUCGAUCCAGUCCUGUGCAGAGCUCCGGUCUGACUCCUGUGAUGAGCCGAGGUUCUCCUCCAUCACUGAUCACCUCUGUUAGCAUCUAUCUGUGUGACUGUGACCUGCUUACAGUUUACAGCAGCAGCAGCAGCAGCGUUGCUUUCAGGUUGCAUCACUCAGACCUGCAACUGUGUUUGCACGGCUUCCUCACUUUGAGCUAAUGCAACUAUCAAAGAGCGCGCCUGAGAAACAUGCUCCCACUGCAGCUCAGGAGUGAAUUCAAUCAAACAAUCCGACUCAGCUUCAAUCUUAUCUCCCUCUCAAACACACACCGCAGCUUUUCUUCCUCACUUCCUCCUCCGAACUUCGCCUCCAGGAAGCUGCUCGGCACUUUGGCAGCCGUAAACGCCAGAAACACGGCGAUAUAAAGGAGCGAUUGUUGGUUUUUAUUCUCGUAAGGCUUUGUGUCCUGCUAAGAUAGUGUGUAAGGUGUGUUCAGAAUCAAAAACUCUGCGUCUUUUGUCGAGUCUGUGAAAUUUACACUUUUUUAAAAACUGCCUUUUGAAGUUUUGGCUCCUGAGAGAGAGAGAGAGAGAGAAAGGAGACAAAGCUAAAGUAUGAGGUGUGUAACAGGACAGGACACACACACACACACACACACACACAAAAACACACACAAAAACACACACAUAAACACACACACGGUCUCUCAGCAGGCUGCCAGGUUCCUUCUGAACAAGCCAAGGAUGAAACCCAAAGCUAACGUGUGUGUUCUCGCUCUGACCACAGCUGCUCCGCUCUCACGCUCCCUGAGGUGUGUCUCUCUCUCUCUCUCUCUCUCUCUUUCACACACACACACACACACACACACACACACACACACACACACACACACACACACACUAUAGGUAUGAGAUAGCGUCUGAAACUGAACAAACACGGAGGCAGAGGAGAGGUUGUCGUCCUCUGCUCUCCUCUCAUCAUCUUAUCAAUCAGAGCCGGGUCACGACCACAGAGGCAGCGCAGAUGAACUCCCGCCGCUGCCGCCACAAAUGAGGAGGGGGUGGGGGGGUCAUGACCACGGUGGCACAGGAAUGAACCCUUGACUGCCACCAGGAGACCAUGAGAGGAGAGAGAGAGAGAGAGGUGUAGGAUGUUAUAUUGCUAACAAAUUAGUUUUGGCUCGUCUUCAGAGAUCGGCCGUUUUGAUUGGCUCCCCAGGUCUCUCCGGCACACAGCAAUUAGGAACCACACAACCCCUGCUCUCCACAGAGACAAAAGCAGGAGACGCUGCUCCUGCUCCGCCACGCCGGCUGAACCCUGGCUGGAAACGUAGAGGAACGAGGAACGAGAGAGAAAUAAAUUCACUUUAUCGUGAAGAAAUGAAGAAAGUAAAUUCAAACUAAAACUGAAUUAGUGUCUUUUCUCAAACACUAGAUGUUCCUCUGCCCACCUCCUCUACAUUAUCCUGCUCAUAACACCAUCACUGACUCAACAACUUUAUGACAAAUAUUAAUUUAGAAGUUAUCUAAUUAUGUUAAUGUUGCAGCAGACUGAGGACCAUCAGUGACAGCAGAUCUGGAUCUGAGUUAGUUCACCUGAGACAGAAGAAACGACCAGACCUGCUCUGUUCUGGUACCGUGGGUCAGAGAAAACCUGAGAAGAUCAGACUUUGGACCUUUGGAACAAUCCGCCCUCGGGCUGCUGUCUUAAAAUAUUUAGACGUAAACAAAGUUCUCUCUUAGUAUAUAUGUAAAUUAAGUUCUCUCUAAUUAUAUACAGUAUAUGUGAAUAAAGUCACCUCUUAGUAUAUAUAUAUAUGUAAAUUAAGUUCUCUCUUAGUAUAAAUAAGUUAAUAUUGUUCCUUCUUAGUAUAUAUAUAUGUAAAUAAGGUUCUCUCAUGUUGCUCCUAUAAUAGAUGUUUUGUAAACAGAGAACCCUCUUGUUGUCAUUUUCACUGUUAAAUGUCAAACGUUUCUCUGGUUCUUCUUUCUGUUUGAAUCCUAAAUGUCCUCUGCUCCUUUUUUAUUGGAUUAAAAUCUUAAACUCUCUGACAGCUUCUUUAAUGUUUUAAAUGAAUUGUCCUUUAGUUUCCUUUUACCAAAUAAAAUCCUAAUAGUUUAACUAACUGGUAAUUUUACCUGGUUGUCAGUUUGGUUGUUGUGUCCGGUGUGUGUCCUGAGUAGGUCUGGGUGAUUUAUCAAAAAAAAUGAUCACGAUUUAUUUUGUCACAUCGUCCGAUCUCGAUUAUUAUCACUAUAUUAUCGAUAUAUUAUACUAUAAACUAAAAAAACUAGAGAUUAGUUCAACAUUUUAUUAACAUACAAAGUCAAUAACAAAGAAAAUUAAUAAGAUAAAAUAAAAUAAAAUAAACACUUUAACUCAACGGAACAACAUGUUCUACAUGCUCUCCUGUAAACAUCUCUCUCUGAACAUCUGUGCAUGAAAUACAGCACUGAAGCAUGGAUGUGUGGAAAAGGAGAAUUUCAGUUUCAAGAAGGCCUUCAUUUGAAAUAAGGACCACAGAGAGAGGAUAAAGAAAAUGAGAGGAUGGAGAAGAAGAGGAGAGGACGGAUGAAGAAGAGGAGAGGAUGGAGAGAAGGAGAGGAGAGGAUGGAGAAGGAGAGGAGAGGAUGGAGAAGAGAGGAGAGGAUGGAGAGAAGGAGAGGAGAGGAUGGAGAAUCACAUUUAGUUCAGAUUCUCGACACUUUAGUCUAAAAAUGUGGUGUGAACUUCUCUGAUUGAUGUGUUGGGUGUGAAACAUAUGCUUCACUGUGCUCAAGGUGACUGUGUGUGUGUGUGUGUGUGUGUGUGUGUGUGUGUGUGUGUGCGUGUGUGUGUGUGCUGUGGUCUUGCUCACUUCCAGUCAGUCCCCCUGGAGGGCUUCACUGCGUGGUCACUGCAGGGCGUCCUCCUGUCCUCCCCUCUCUUCAGCCACAACAUCCUAACACAACCUGACACAUCCUCUGUCCAGCUACCAUGGAUGUGUGUGAGUCUGAGUGUGUGACUCUGUAGUGUGUGUCUAAGUGUGUGUGUCUGUGUGUAUUGUGAAGACUUUAAUAAACAGCGCUGUCCUGAAUAAAGACGUAAACGUUCGUCUCUAAAGUUUCUGUUCGUUCUUCAGGUGAAUUCAGAGAAAAUUCAUCUUCUCUUCAUCACUUUGUCGUUUUUUUUUCAGGAACGUAUAAAAAAUUAUCCUAAUGUCUGUAAUUUUUCAACAUUUUCAGAGCCUUUCUGGAUCAAUCAGCUGUUUUAAUGAACGAGUGAAUUAUUUAUGUGAAACUCCUGGAGGACAGAAACACUCUCCGUUUUCUCACAUCGUGUGUUUUUGCAUAUUAGCAUAAAAGUGAGACGGCCUGUUUGGAUCCGUGUUUCCAGCUCACACCUGCAGAUUUACGCCGUUUAACGACAGUCAGAGGGAGAGUCACCUUCACCUCAAACACACAGAUAUCUGUGGGUGAGACUGUGACUGUUAGAUCCAGUCUCCUCAUUGAGGGAUGGAUGUAAACUCCUCAGACGACUGAGUUCAAGAACUUCUGCAGCAUGUGAAUCUAAAGUUUCGGAGCUAGUUUUAGAGUUUUUUACGUAUCUCAAAAACCUGCGCGGCAUAAAUCAUGAUGAAGUUAUCGAUCUGUGAGGAAAUCUCUCUGUUUCUUCCUCCUCACCUCACCCCAGCUCCUCCUCCUCCUCCUCCUCCUCCUCCUCCUCCUCCUCUCUCCGAUCUCAGAGAAAGUUAGAGAGGAAGUUCGCUCAACUCCUGUGGCUUGGGUGGCUUUUUAAGUCUUCUUUAUUCAUGUGUUAUUUGUUUAUGUGGAUUAAUUAUUAAAAAUUUGGUGCAUUUUACAAAGGUUGAAGUCUGCAGAUAAUGAUUCCUCUCCAUUCUCUCCCAAUGGGUUGUGUUUGUAAUUUUCUUGAAUAUAAAAGUUGCAUAAUUCAUGUGUAUCGGCGGGCCACAUCCAUUAAUUAUGUCAGUCUUUUAGGUGCUCGCGUCUUUACCACGUCUUCUUCUUCUUCUUCUUCUUCUUCUCUUCCUUUCAUUCUCUCUCUCUCUCUGUUUCUCUCUCUCUCUCUCUGUAUCUCAGCAGAAGUAAAAAACCUCCUUUUGAGCGUUUCCUCCUCUCUUCCUCGCUCUUUUCUCGCGGAUCAUGAGGGUCAGAUGGACCGUGUCCAAGUUUGAGCGGGAGAUGAAAGCGAGCGGAGGAGAAAAGGAAAAGUUUGCUGCGCUGCUGUGAUGUAAAUGCCCUUAUUUAGUAAUUUAUAGAAGAGGGAAUUGAGCACAACUCUGUGGAGAUUCAUCACUUAUUGAUGUGUCUAAUCUUUCAGAUCCUGCCAACAUGAUGAUCAUGAUCUGUGUUAGCGUGAGACGCCUCACCCCCCUCCUCUCCUCCUCCUCCUCCUCCUUCCCUUUCCUCCCCUCUCUCCUCCCCCGAAACUCUUGUUUCUGUCACUUUCUCCCCUCUUCUCUCCACACAUCCACUUUGACUCCAAAUAUUCAGCGUUACAAAAUACCCCGAUAAGUCUGUCACAUUUUAACGUGGCGUAUCGACCACGACGACGACGCCGAUAACACUGACGAGGUUUGACCAGCGGAGAGGAAGAAGAGCUUUUUAUCUUUUUAUAAAUAAAAACAGAUUUUUAGUUUUUUUUUAAAAAGAGAGAAAUUAAACUGAGACAGAAACAUUUUCUGAUUUUAGCUUUUUAAAGGUGAAGAUUUGUGGCUGUAAAUUAAGAGUCUUUGCUGAUUAUUAGUUAUUUUAAAGACGUCGCUCUAGAAACUGUUUUCUCUCUUUUAUUUCCAAAAAUAUUAUCAAUACAUCCUGAAAAUAAGCCUGACAUAAAUCAAAAUUGAGGAUAAUAAUUUGUUCUGUUCAUCUGAGUUGUUCUUUUUUUGGGUUCUGCAGAAACUGAAUCCAGACGUUAUCCGACUCCUCUCAGUGUCCUUUUUAAAAAGCGUUGUCAUCGUGUCGUUUGUCGCCGUGGUUCCCGUCUGACCGCCUCUUUCACUCUUGUGGGAAACUCUGACCUGUGAACACGAGAGCGUCUUUCCUCUUUGUGCAGAAAUAAAAAAGAAAGUCCAGCUCCUCCUCCUCCUGAAAGACUCGGACACUGUAAGUCCCUCUGACCUUUGACCUUCAGUCCUCCACCUUCAGCCGCUCUCACCCUACAUUCAGAGGAAACUCAGCUACUCAGCGUGCGUGUGCAUGUGCGUGUGCAUGUGUGUGUGAUUCCUCUGCAUAAUGAGGCGCUCAGAUGUACAGACGCGGUUCUCGGUUUUUAAUCGAUAUUUGAAUGUUUUGCUAAACUGCACAAUAAGAAAACAUUCACGUCUGAAAUAAUACAAAGAAACUUGUUUCCUACAUGUGUGUGCAUCUCAAUAAGCUUCCCUCCUGGCAUAAUAAGGCCUCUCUCUGCCUCCGUCAGAUGAAAUAAUGUGUGGUAUAAUCAGACGCGGUUAACAAAAGCAACAGCAGGAAUAGGGAGAGAAAUCUAUGCACAUCUAAAUAAUACAACCAUCAGUAUACGCCAAAUCUCCCCGGCUACAAUCUCCCCCCUAAGGGUGCAUGCCUGGAGCUGAUUUGUAUACAAAACAAAUCUAAUGUAUGCUUUCAACACAUAUUUAACAUAUGCCACUCACUGAUAAAUUAUUCACCAACAGGAGCUUCAAUUUUUUAUCGGCAGCGUUUCUUCUUUCCAACGAGUGAUGAGGAAACGGGAGGAGGACAAUGGAGAGGAGAGGAAACACGGCGCUGAAGUUAACUGAACGGAAAAGUCUCGUUCACCUCAGCGGGAACGUUUCAGACUCUCUGAUUUUCUUUCCUCCUCUUUAAUUUCUCUGCAGGAAAAUUUAGCGACACAGUCGAGCCGUUUGUCCGAGCGCUGACACGACUCUUUGUUCAGAACUGAAUAAAAAAAAACACACACAGAGGGGCGUCAGAGGGAGUCAGUAACCCACAUCUGCAUGUUGACUAACACAGGAAGUCACCCUGAAGGUGACCCGCGAAGGCUCGCCGCGUUCAGGAGGUGAUUUGUGACACACAGAUGAUUCAUAAAGCGGCGAAUCGUUGUUGGAGAUAAAAGCGUUCAGGUGCAUGAAUAAAAACACGCCGCCGUGCACAGACGCAAAAACAUGGAAGGUAAAUGCACACACACACCUGCCCCUCUCAGAGAGUCACAGUGAGCAUGCUCCGUGGGUCCGUGUCUCUACAGAUGCUGUGUGUGUGUGUGUGUGUGUGUGUGUGUGCCGUUGUCUCUGCCACAGGCGUGUUUACUCACUCAUACACACACUCGAUAAAACGCUCACACACACACACACACACACACUGAUGUGAGCAGAAUCAGCGCCGGCUCGCUCGCUCGCUCAUGGCCUCAGCUCCUCUGUGUGUCUUUGCCCUCAGCGCCGAGCGGAGACGAACAAACAUGUCUGACAGGAUUGAUGUCACAGGCUCACGGCGGAUCGAUGAAAACAUGAAUCUGUCGAUAACAGAUGAUCAGCUGGACCCGAAUAACUCGAUCAGAUCAGAACCACUGCUGAAGUCCAAAGAGGAGCCGGUUCUCCUCGGUGCUCCUCAUGAACAGAGAGGUUUGAACCCUGAAGGGGACUCCUGAGGACCUUCGCCUCACUACCCCCCCCCAGGUUCCUCAGAUUAGAGCGAGGGCGAAACAGUGACACCGUACGGCCCCGUACUUUUGCAGCGUUCGUGUUGUGUGGUCCGAAUGAAACACAAGCACUAAAAUAACAUUCGCAGAUGCAGCCAUCUUGUUUUCGGCCUCUGAUUUUGCUUUUUUCUGACUUGGAAAUGAAACGUCGUGAACUCGGGUGUGACGUCAUUUUCAGCCUCCUGUGGUAACUCACAGAAAACACAGGUGAGCUCCACGGCCGAGUCCCAGUCCAGAGGCCCCAGGCUUGGCCGUUGUUGCCUGCAUGGACCAAUCACAUCGGAUUGAAGUGGCCUUUACAGAAUGGCGUGAUUACAUCAGUAAACUGAUGGUGAUGUCACGCAGCAUCACUCUGGUUACUAAGCGACCAGUAGCUACCAAGUUAACCAGUUUGCAUACUUCUGUGCAUGUCUGUCAUGAGUCGAAUUCUUGAUGAAUUCAGAGUAAAAAAACACCACAAAAUCACCCUCACUGCUUCAUAACUUCACUCUUUCAUUCUGCAGAUUUUAAUGAAAAUAAAAAUAAAAAAAAGGGACUUGGUGGAGAAAAAGACAAAGACGUUGGUUCAGCUGAAGAAACGUUCAACCAUCCGUCCUGUUGACCUGCUCUGGACCUUCAGCAGAGAUCUUCAUCCUCACGCUGAACUAAAACUGUUAUUUCCAGUUUUUGUUUGAUCGUCGUCUCUUAAUCUCUCAGCUGCUGUAUCUUCACCAUGACGACUGAUGGUGAAUAAACCGUCACAGUGGUUUCGCCGUAAAGGCCAAGAUCGUGGCGUUCUCCAAUCUGAGCUCUUAAGAGUCUUGAAGCUGAACGGACUGAUGGAGUCGGUCAGAACCUUCAUUUCUGCUGCGGUGAGUCAGCUCUCUGUCAUUCACACUAACCUUUAAAAGCAGCAGACAGACCUGUAGGCUGAACAACACUGAGAUUUUCACUGAGAGUGAAAAUUCAUCAUCUGCAGACAGAAAGGAGGCGGGGUCAGGGUCUCCUCUGUAGUGACUGUGACCAGGAGGUGAGAGUCGCUCAGUUCGUUUACAGUCUCAGUUUAAUCAGACUAACCUCAUAACUCGUCUUCUUCUCUGAAUCAGUCUUCUCUCCUCGUCCUCGUUUACAUGCAGCUGAGAAAACUGAAUUAUUGACGUGAACGUGUCCUCCUCCCCAACACUAGGGGGCGAUAUGGGUCUUUUCAGCAGCGCUGUUUCCGACCCCAUCCAACCGUCAACAACAACAGCAGGUCGGUGUCAGACGUCAGAAGUGUCUACAACUGCUGCUGGGCAUUUUGGAGAAACAAGAAGAUGGAGCAUCGUACAGCGUUGUUUUUGUCCGACAUGAUGGACGCGCUACUUUUUCUAAAGACGAGACCAACGCUACUCCUCUACUCUGGGGGUUUGUUACGGGGUUACGGGGGCGUGGCUUCAUACUCCGACUACGCUGGUUACAUGGUAGAGAAAAUCUAAUUCCAAUCUCAUUAUCUGGGUGUUUUAAUCAGAGUUCUUAAACUCAGAUUAUAGUCGGACUGAAGUGUUUACAUGACCUUCAGUUGUCCGGUCUUUAUCGGAAUAAGGCGAUAAUUCGGUUUUCUUGAGUGUCAUGGAAACAGACUGAGUGAUUUCUAAUUUUAAAUGGUAAGGACAACUGGACUUAGUUGAGACGUUUCGCCUUAGUUGUCUUUUCCAUGCGGAGAUUCCCACUCCAGAGUCAUGUGACUAACCCGUUGGACAUAGUUGGUUUAAAAUCAUCUAAAAACCAUAAAAAUCUGUUUUAUUUCUGAUCAUUUUAACCCUUAAACUUUUUUAAACUUCGUCCCUUAGAGUUCUUUGUUCUCAAACUCCGAUUAUAAUCAGACUAAGGUGUUUACAUGACCUUCAGUUGUCCGGUCUUUAUCGGAAUAAGGCGAUAAUUCGGUUUUCUCGAGUGUCAUGGAAAUGUUCUGACUGCUGCUCCUCUUAGGAGGACCUGACCAGGAGUUUAACGGGAGGUCAAACUUGAAAAAAGUGGAUUUAUGUUUGAAUAUCUUAAACUCCUGUAGAGCCCGUCUCAGAAAGUUGUAGCCGAGGUAACGUUCAGGUUCUCUCUGCAGUUUCCUGUUAAAGAGGUCAAACCCUAAUGACAGAUAUCUGCCAACCUUAGACUUGAAAAACAGUGAACUAGCCCUUUAAUCUCCUACAGCACAGUCAGAUCAUGAAGGAAACAUGUCUGUGAAACAUCGUUUUUUUAAUCUGAAUAUUUUCAUGAUUGAUCCUUUUAAACUGAAACGCAGUGAUUGAUUAUGAUUGAUUAUGAAGGUGUAAACGUACAGACACACACAGGUAUAGAGAAGAUCUCACGGGCCUUCUCUCCACUUUAACCUUUCCUCCCCUCCCUCGCUCGCUCACUCUCACUCCCUCCAUCUCAUCGCCAUGAUUUUCUCUCUCUCUAAAUGCUCGUCCGUCCGUCCCCUCUGCCUCUCCCUCUCUCCUCUGUCGCUCUCUGUCGCUCCGUCUCUCCUCUCUGGUAAGAAUAAGGAGCAGCAGUGCUAUUCAGACCGGUAAUUACAUUUCUGUCCUUUGUUGGAGCCGAGUGUUAUUUUCCAUUAAUGGCAGGACAUGUUAUAUAAGAGGGUCUUUAUGGGAGUGAUAAUGGUCGGGGACAGAGGAGAUGACGAGCUGGCAAGUGUAUCAGCGAUGCUCUUUUUCACAGCGAGGGCACGGCGGAGCUUUCAUUAGUCCUUGAAGAGUACACACCUGACCCUGCUGACACCAAACACACACUCACACACAACAGAGAGAGAGAGGCGGCUACACACACACACACAGACACACACGGCACAUCGACACACUGCCUUACAACCACGCGGUGUGAUCGGCGUGGUUCACACACUCACACAGCAGCGUCGCUCACCAUUGAGAAAAGCAGAGAAAUAGGCCAUGGCGAUAUGCUGAUGCAGAGGUUAUGCCCACUUUCACGGUAUAAUUUAUUCAUCUGUUGUUUGCAAAAUGAUGUAUGAAAUAUGGAUGGUCUGAGUUUGGCUUUAAUGUUUCAUACGACCAUGACUGUGGGAGCAGGAAGGCAGAGAAACACGGCCUCUGCCAACGCUCGGCGAAACGACGCUCAGAGGAAGGAUGGAGGAGGAGGAGGAGGAGGAGGAGGAGGAGGCUACCAUGUUUAUUUUAGCAGUCUGCACAUUAACUAUCACUUACUGUAUCUUUAUGGAAAUACGCACGUCUGCAGCUGACGGUCUGUUAAAGAAACAGGAAGAUGAUUCAAGCAGAAGAGGAAGUUCAGAUUCAAGUCGCUGCACAACGUCAGACUUAAAACGAGCAGAAAUGUUUUUCAUUUUCAUUCAAUAACAGAUUUUCAAGUCUGAAGCUCAUAUUUCUGCAAGCAUGCGGAAACAGAGCAAACACUGCAGUACCACCAGAAACCACAGGGGGCAGUAAAGAGAACACUUCAACCCGUAGAGUCUCUAAAGCAUGAAAAUUAAAAUCCUACCUUUAAAACUGAAUCUCCAUCGCCGCCAUCUUUGUUAUCAUAAACCUCGAUUCUUCUUCUUCUUUGAGGUGACUUCUGGGUCUGAGCGGCGCCAUCUAGCAGACGUUUGGCCCGACAUCCUGAAAAAGAUGCACAUAAGUGUUUUAAGUCUACGUCACGAUUUAAGGAAAUCGUUAAUCAUAUUUCGAAUUUCACUUCCGUCACAAAGUCACUUUAUUUCUGCAGAUUUUGUACAAUCAGCUGUUUUUUUAAUCUUUAUCUCUCAACUUUCUUUUAUUUCAGCAAAAGCUAAACUACGGAAGCAACUGGGAACAACUAAAAUCUGUGUACCGAAUUUUUCGCUCUAUAGGGCGCACUUAAAAUCCUUUUGGCUGGUAGGAGCGCUGCUCGCGGAGUUAUUGAAUGAGUUAAAUAAAGUUUGACUUAUCUGACUGUUUUGUUUGGCUUAAUGCGCUUUAUAAUCCGGUGCGCCUUGUGUAUGAAAAUAGACACGAGUAGACACGUUCAUUGAUGGUGCGCCUUAUAGUGCGAAAAAUACGGUGUUUAAACAUGAAGCCCCGCAGUGCAGCUCUGUUUAUCUGUUUAUGUAUAAAAGUUAAUAAAUGUUUAACGUGAACUUUAGCGCAGCACAGACGUCAGACUUUAGACCUCAGACCAGGUUUUUGUUGGUCUGAGGCACACAUACUUUUAGUCUAAACACCUCAUUUCCAGACCAACAGAGAGUCUAAAGGUCAGGGGUCACGAUCAGCUGUUAUACUUGAGCACCGUGAACAAACUUUUGCGGAGUGUCCUGUAUGUUUGGAGAAAAACUGCGUCUGAUUGGCUGUAAAGUGACGAGUCGGUUUCUCAUCAGAAGAUUUCUUUAAAAAAUAACAUCUUCAUGGUUUUAUCCUGAACUUUCACACGUUUUGACUCUAAAAUCUGUUUUUUUUUUUCGUGCUGGUGUAAAAUUCUCCGUCCAGAGUGAAGAGCUUCAUGUCUCUUCAUGUCUCUUCAUGUCUCAGCGCGCCGCCUUCCUAAUUUCACGUAUUUGUUCUUGGUACAUGAAAUAACCCACAAAAUGACAUAUAAUGAUGAUAACACCGUGACACUGUCAGGCAUCAUUACGGCUCUUAUUCCAGGAAGUCACUCGAACACGCCGGAGAAUCCUGACAAUGACCACGACCUUGGUGACCAACGCCGUCACCGUGAGAACUUUGCAUGUACAGAGGUUUAUGAAAACAAGGACUCUAUUCUCCCACAGGUUUUUACACCUCGCUCAGAAAUGGCGGUAGAUUUGGCGUUUCCUGUCACAGCUGUACGUGCACAGCUGACUGGGACCGUAUGGAUGGGUUGCUGGGAUGUAUGGUUGGCUUGUAAAUUGACCGUCAUUGAUCGUCUGCAGCUGUGGUUUUCCCGUGAGGCCCGUCCAUGAGGGGAUCGAUGCGCUUUGGUAAAAGGUGAAACAUAAAGCUGCUGCUGUGUCCCGUAAUGUGGAUUAGACACACAUCAGUUCACACACAACAUCAGUCUGCCUGUGCGCCGCUCCUCCAUGACGACCACGACGACCAUGUGGAGGUAAUGUAUGGGAACAUGAUCGUAACGCUCUCUGCCAGAAACACGUUUUCUCUCUUUCUCUUUAAAACGCAAAAUGGAAUUUAAAUAAACUAUGCUAAUGAGAGACUCGGAUGUUUUUCCAACCACGCAGCCAUGUAGCGUCAUUUUUAUUGUUACAGCAAAGCAUGAUGGGAGGUGACAGUGCAGCCUGGGGCAACACGGGUGAAAGAGAGGAGACAGAGAUAGAGAGAGAGAAGCAGAGGACGAGGCGAGCUCUUCCUUUACAUCCGACUAAACAUCCAUGAAGACGACGUAUAAACGCUAAAUAAAGCCGGACCUCCUCUGACGUCAACGCUGACAAACAUCAAGAAGUACGACAGAAAUACGAACUUAUUAAUGUCAUUAUAAUCUGUUAAUUAGGGCAAUAACGUCCCAAUAUGAUAAAACCAGAUUUUCUGACUGCAAAGGCUGCGAAUUGACUGGUCACAUGAUCUGGUCACGUGACUUGUGAGCUAACAGGAAGAACAAAAUUCAAAACAGAAAAACUGAGUCGGUAAAAAAGUUCAUAGUGAAGAAUUUUGUAAAUAUUUUGACUAACCCUGUAAAUAUUUAAUCUUAAAAUACUUAAACAUUAAAAACAGUUAAACUAAAUCUGUAUCUGUUUAAUUUUCUAAAAUCAAUUGUAAUGUUUAUUUGUUUUACAGAUAUUUGUUCUAUCAAAUGUUAUGAAAUAUUAGCAUGAAUUAAAUUAUUUGAAACCUCAGAAUUAUUUGAAUUAGUUAUUAAAGAAAUCUUUGACUGUGCUGUUAUUCUGAGAUUUGUUUAUUCUGUUUUUAUAACUUUUAUAUCUGUGACUGUUUUCUUUGUGCUGCUAACCUUCUUGUCCAGGACACUCUUGUUAAUGAGAUUCUUGAUCUCAAUGAGAUUUUCCUAGUUAGUUAGUUAGUUAGUUUAGGUAGAUAGAUCUCUAGAUAGAUAGAUGUCUAGAAAACCAGGUUUGGUUUUUGAUCUUCUGAUCUCUAUACACUCUCUCUCUCUCUCUCUCUCUCUCUCUCUCUCUCUCUCUCUCUCUCUCUCUCUCUCUCUCUCUCUCUCUCUCUCUCUCUCUCUCUCUCUCUCUCUCUCUCUCUCUCUCUCUCUCUCUCUCUCUCUCUGUCUGUCUGUCCCUCUGCUUUUCAGACACACACCUGACUCCUCCUCCUCUUCUUCCUCCUUUUAUAUGUUUAUAAUAAUCUUAAAUCUAAAAAUAUCCUGAGGUAUCAGACGUGAUCCUGGUCAUUUAAAGGUCACAGCCAGGAGACAAAACCAGUCCCCACACACACACACACACACACACACACACACACACACACACACACACACACACACACACACACUCUUGAGUAACAAACAGAUGUAAAAAUCCUCAGAGUCUGAUCGUAUCUGAAAGUCAAGUUGUUUGUUCUGGUUCGGGGAGGAUGUGUGUGAUUGAUUAUGUGCUUUGGAGGAUCAAACAUGGCGUCCUUCAGCUCCAUCAUUAUUACAUGUGCAGCAGGCAGAGCUAACAUUGCAGAGUAAUCAUAACAACAUCUCGGCCUCAUAAUGCCCUGUAAUGAGAUUUCUAACCACACCGCUAUUGAUUUCAGCCCCCCUCCUCUGAAAGAGGCUGAAAUUGGUUUCUGUCGCUGAGAGGAGCUGAAAAAGAAAAACGAGAAAAAAGAGAAAAAAGAGAAGAAGAAACCUGAUUGUUGUUCUGGAAACAUUUUCUCUGCUGUUUUUAACAGACGGAGGAUCAUGGUGGUGGGAUGAUGAUGAUGAUAUAACCAACGUUGGUGUUAACAAAAGCAUGAGUAACAUCUGUGCAUGAAAGGUGAGUGUACAGCCAUCCAUGCAUGUGUGUGUGUGUUUACAUUAUGGACUGUAUAUAUGUGUGUGUGUGUGUGUGUGUGUGUGUCUUUAUCAGAGGAAAUUAGACCUCAUGGUUUAGAGGUUAGUUAACACAGUCAGUCACAGUAUCAUGAUCAUGGCCUCUUAAUGAAAUUAUGAGGUAUGAUAUUUUACUCCAUCUUUUUCUGGAUUGUGGCUUUAUUUUGAAAUAUAAUCUACUUCUACUUCUAUAAUCUACUACUUCCUGUUAAUCAUAAGUUUCUGAUCUGAGUGAAAAAGGUCAAAAAGUUCUGAAUUGAUCAGUAACCUGAAGAGACUCUGGAUGUUUUUCCUUACCACUGUUACUCAUGUCAGAUGGGUUAAAUCUGUUGAAUCAUUGUUUUAUAAUUUAUCAAACAUGAGCGUGGUCUAGAACCUGCUCUUUUUCUUUGGGAAGCAUCUUGGGAUGACGACUGUUGUGAAUUGGCGCUACAUAAAUAAAAUUUGAUUGAUUGAUUGAGAUUCUGACAUUGUUUUUUUUCAAAUUCAUGAUUAAACUUGAGUCUGAUCAUCUCUCAGAGCGAUGCUAAAGCUAGCUCGCUAACAGCCGAGCACCUCGUUAAAUUGUUCAGGUUAGGACAGCAGAAACGAAUCUGACAGUCUUUCAGGGAGGAUUUAGGUUUUUUAGUCUUUUCAGAGUCUUUGUGCUGAAAACAGUAACUACAUCUAUAAAUUUUCUUUUCUUUUAUUUUUAAUACCUGUUUCUCUUAUUUUCUAUUUUUUAAGUUUAAUUUUGUAUUUCUAUUUUCUGAACACUGAACUCUAAUUUUUAAGAGGAUCAGGUCUAAAUUGAGUCCACAAUGAACCCGUCUGUGAUCAUGAUUUUGUGCAAAAACCAAAAAAUCAAACUCUGGACUAAAAUGGCACGGAUGUCACGGCCGAUACUUGUAUGACAGCUCCAGUCAGAGUCCACCUGUAUUUGUGUUUCCAGGUGAGAAUAAAACUGAAUCAUUAUCAGACACUCAAAGUAAAAUCCCAGAAUAACAGACAGCAGCUACAGAAUAAGAGACUGAGAUCGACUCGCUGAGAGACUUCAUAUGUUUUCUAUCAGACCUGGAGUAAACAAAAAUAAGAAACUAAAGGACAGAGAAGGGGCGAGAGGAGGAGUCAGAGGAGGAGCCAGAGGAGGAGCCAGAGGAGGAGUCAGAGGGAGGUGGACGGGACAUUAUUUAUGGGCUGGGAGGACGGUAACAUGAAGCUACAUCACAGAGCAGGUUCAGGUCCUCUGAAAGCCAGAGAAGACUCACUUUCUCUCACUCUACAUCAGGAUAACACUCUGAGAAACACACACACACACACACACACACACACACUGAUACCAUUCAUCUAUCAAUAUUUCAGUGUGGAGGACAGGAGCUGCUCCUGUUACCAGGCAGACUGAGAACAAUCGUUUAAAACUUUACAACGAUCACAAAAAAAGGACAGAGGUGAGAAUUUAACGACAUGAGAGACUUUCUGCUUUAACCCGCAUCAAUCUGGGUUUGUGGAGUCCAAACCCAGACCUGCAGGUCAUGCUGCUGUGGUCAUUCCUGGACUCUAAUAAAAUACAUGAAAAACACAGAUUUCUAACAACUAACAAGAAAGACGUAAUCGCACAGAGAAGGAGCAGAGUAGAGGAGAGGAGAGGAGUCAUUAUUCAUUCUGAUGCUGCGCCUCCUUAUUUACUCCUCUCUGUAUUCAAACUCAAAAAGCUGAAGAUGAUCCAGAGAAGCUGCAAAACACCAGCGUACUUAUCCCAUCAUCAAGCACAGGAGUCAAACACGUCACAGCAUUUAAAGGGUUAAAGUCGAGAGGAAGAACAUUUAUGAUCAUUUCUUCAUGGAAAUAAAAUCAGACCGAGACGCUAAGACAGAAGAACUACUGCGUCUGUAAAAUGAUUAAUAUGGUGAUUAUUACUUCAAGGAAAUGAUAAAGAAAUGAUCAUAAAUGUUCUUCCUUGAGCUGCGGCACCCCGCUGUAGUCCGUAAUGGACUGGCCUGAGGUCUCUCUACAAACAAGCGUCUGCUGGAAGAGAGUAGGUGAGUUGUGUUUAGUCUCUUUGCUAAAGAAAUGAGUCAAAGUUAGAAAGAUGUUUGGUGUCUAGUACUAUGUCUGUGACCCUAUAUGUACUAACCUCAGUAGAUCAUGGUGUAGUUCCGUUCAGUAACAGAACCUCAUUGGAAAAUUAGCUGAUUUAACUUUACUGUGCUCUUGUUCAAAUAUAUUAACUCGACAGCACAUAAAUCCAUACCUGUUAACAAAAUCAUGAUUUUAUUGAUAAUUCGGCUCAAUAAAAACACCUUUACCUUUUCAUUUUACUACAGUAGAAGUUUAUUAGCCCAGCUUAUAGACUACAGAAGUGGAGAAACGCCCCCGCUUAAGUUUGUUUUCUUAGGAGUUAGAACAACUCUGAAUAUAGUACUAUGGCUGUGACCCUAUAUGUCCUGUUGAUGAAGUUAGGUGCUGUUCUGAGCAUUAUUUGUGGCUAUAGAGUGGCGUUUUGGUUGGGGGCGUGGCUCUCUGUAUUUCUAUCCUGCGGUCGUUACUAAAGUUGGUAUAACUAGAGAAGCAAGCGGUCGACAACAUUCAUCUCUGGAGGGGGGGUCUAACUCGGUGUUACGGUGGGUUUGCAGAAACCUCGAGCGGAACUGGACUGAUGUUAGACCAUCGUCUGAGUGAGAGAGAGAGAGAGAGAGAGAGAGAGAGGGAGUCAAUCAUGGAAAAAGUCUUUUUUUCAGCUCCUUGAUUUAAAAGAACAAGUUUUCCAUUCCUACCAAGUUUGCUGAACUUUGACCCUGACUCCAAACAUGUUGGUGAACGGUCUUGAGUACAUAAAGACGGUCUACGCUGAGGUCCACAGUCUGCUGGACCAGGAUAACCCGGAUUUAGGAAGUACUCUGUAAAACACCAUGUCGACUAAACGCAGGUCGCUGCUCGCUCUGAAAUAUUCACGAUCUCCUGAUGAUUUGAGGCUCAUCUGACUAAUGCAGCUAAUGUGCCCCCCCCCCAGCCCCCCCACAGCAGCAUCAUCUCCCCUCCUGAACCCAGACCCUCAUUGGACUGAGGGGCUGGGUGGAGGGUCUGAAUCAGUAUCCAGGGAGAAAGGGGGGGAUCACAUCUGGACCACAGACCGAGCGAGCGAGAGGAAGAGCGAGGGUGGGGAGGGUGCAGCACAGACUCAUCUGAAUGAAUCAUGGCCCUCACACACACACACACACACACACACACACACACACACACACACACACACACACACACACACACACACACACACACUGUCACCCCAUCUACCCUUCCCCACAGCGUGUUGCACCCUGCAGCAGCAGCCAUCGCCAUCCAGCUGCCGCCGACUCCCCCCUCUGCACACACUCCACAGUCACAGUAACACUGCAGAUUACACACACACACACACACACACACACACACACAGACUGUGUCCAAUCGAAUGUUCAGCUCAUCUCUCUCACGUUUAUCUCGCCGCACAAAGGAAACUUGAUUGAAAGUCACAUUAACUCUCUUUCAUUAAAGCUCCUCCUUCAUCAUCGGCUCUGAAACUCGGAGAUCUCCGAUCGAUUUAAAGGUCCGGCCCGCGGUCCUGUUCGCCGGUCCUGCUGUAAAUAUCAUCUCCAAACUCGUGGCAUUUACGCUGACAUUUCUACCUCUCUGUUUGUCUUCACUGACGGCGUUAAUGUUUGCGGUGAUGCCCGCCGUGCCGCCGAGCCUCCUUACAGGAACUUUGCCCUCAGCUUUUUUCCUCUGAGUGUGUGUGUCUUUUUGUGAAACAGCAGAAACACACACACACAGACACACACACACUCACACAGGCAGGCAGUCAAUGGAGCUCCAGUGUGCUGCGGUGAUUGUGCUGGUCAAUGUGCUGCUCUGUGUGACUGCAUGCCCCCAAGACUGAGGCUGAGUCUAGACACGAGUCAGCCAAGCCGCCCUGCUGACCUAUAUCCUACAGUUACACUAAGAGAGAGACAUAGAGAAACAGAGAGAGAGAGAGGGAGAGCAGGAUGGGGGGAUGAGAGGAGAGGAUGCAGAAAGUGAAAGGCUGCCAUAAAGCAAAUUGAGAGGAGAGGAGAGAGACGGGGACGAGAGACAGAGCGAGAGAGAGAGAGCGAACAGGAAAGAGGGGGAUGGCGAGGGGAAAAGUGAGGGAGCGAUGCGGCUAUGGAUAAUUCAGAAUGAGUUAAAAGGGGGAAGGGAUGGGAGGAGAGGAGAGAUUGGAAGUGGCAGCCACUAAAGCAAAGAGAGAGUGCUGGUUAAGUACAGUAUGUAAAGCAAAAGAAAGAGAGAGAGGGGCGAGCGAACGAGCGUGCAGAGAGACUCCCAGGAGGAGGCCCACACACACACACACACACGUGAAAUUAUCUCUUUAAUAUCGGCGAGCCUCAGACAUCAGGACGCCGUCAUCCGUCCUCGUAACCAUAACUGCUUCAUGUAAAGAACAAAAGUGUUUGUGAUUAAACCUGAAGACGGUUUCUGUAAGGAGGGCAGUCAUGAAUUAACCAUUUAUAAACUUUUAAACUCUGCAGCAUCAACACCGUACCGACCGACCGCCAACCAACACGACGAGUUACGGGAAUCUCCACGACCUUUGAACUGUUGGGCUUUAAAUCAGAAAACCAUCUUCACAUCGUUUGUAGAAACUUUAAGACUUUUGAAUUCAUGUCAAUAAAACAAAAAAUUACUAUAAAUUAAUGUCAAUAUGAAGACUUAGAGAAAGGUACAGAUUCCUUUCAUCAAUAAUCAAUAGCUGGAAAUAUGUCGUCUGUUAAGUCUGUUAAGUUUUCCUUUAAUAUGUUGUUAACCGCAUUUUACUGGUUAAUUCCUGUCUCUCAGAGUGAGUAGGUCUCAGAUGCAGAUGAUGAGGAAGCAGGUCAGCGAACGGCCGAUAUCACAUUUUUUGUUUCGUUUUGUUUUUUGUUUUUUGCAACAAUUGUAUGAAAUGUCCACUAGGGGGGUGUCUGCAGAAGCACUGAAAACCACAUACACACUAAUUCAAAAAAGAGCUUAAACAAGUUUUUUAUUAUUUUCACACCUCAGUAAAUCUGAAGUGAGUAAUUAAGUAACGUCGUCCAGGUAGGGCUGCUGCGCAAUUUUGGCCAAAAAUAAAAUUUUAAUUUUUUUUCUCUAAAAACUCUAGAAACCACUGAAAACGAUGUAGUUCAUGUGCCAAGCCAGUAAGUGGCGCUGUAACGCUGCACAGGAAAUGCAUAAAAGACAGAAGAAGAGUUCAAAGCAUGUGUAUAAAGGUUGUUUCAGCGCCAUAAUAGAGUUACUCUGUGUGUCACCUGAUCGUUUCCAGAGAUGCAGAUAGACAUCCACACGGAGAUGAAAUGGUCGUCGUUUACAGAUUUAUUCACUCUCUGACCCGUUUUCAGAAAGUACCGUUUACAGUCACCUGAAACGCCGAUACGACAAAAAACUUUAGCGUUUACUCCCGAAUUCGUUUCCGUGGUGACGGGUUGAUACCGCCUUCAGACAGACUUUACAGCGGGGAGUGGUUUACUCUUCAUCUGAAACUGUGAAGUCGUACCAAUUCAACACAACUGACUCGCUCUUGUCCGAUUUAACCACGAAAUUAUCGCCUUCUUUCGCAAACGCCAUGUUUGUUUACACUGGUGUGUGUGGGAAUCAAAGGAAGGGGGAGGAGCCUACGGUGGCCUGGGGGUGCGAGACAUGAUAGAGAGGAAAAUCGAUUUGAGGAUUUUAAUUUUUCUAACAUCGUCAUAAUCAAAUAAUCUGAUUAGAAUUAAAAAAAUCGAUUAAUCGUGCAGCCCUACAUCCAGACUGUGUCCAUGUUUAUAAAGUCCGUCAGCUUUACUAUGAAGUCACAGUCUCGUAUUUUAGCACAGUAUCGACUUCUCUUAUCAUCAAACCCUGUACUCUGGGACAGUAAUCGUUUUGUCUGAGCUCACCUGACGGUCACAGGUAAAGCCCCUCACUGUUAAAACCCUGACAUCUGUCCGGGUCACAUAUGGAGGAAUAAAUCUCCAUCAUUACUGAAAAUGAAAAUGUUCCCGUUAGAAUCAGCGAUGGUGUAAAAACCCGAACCACUGCAGCAGCGUCUCCUCUUUGUGGAGGUUUGUACACACGCCGACUCACUAAAGCCGCUCGGUAACAACUCAGUGUUUAGCAUCUCAACCAUAAAGCUGAAUGGACAAAUCAUCAUCUGUGUCUUUCCAAUUUCUCUUUCUCUUUUCCCCAUUACUCCUGCUCCCCUGUAUGGGAGAGUGAAUAGGCCCAGACAGAGGAGGACAAAGACUUAACAUGUUUUUCUCUCUUUUCUUCUGUGCAUUGAGAGGAUGAGCUGGACUGUACUAAUAGUCUUUGUGUGUGUGAAUGGGACAGAGGGCUUUUUGUGUGUGUGUUCCAGACAGCGGCGCAUAAGGCAGGACUUAAGUAGAUGUUCGCCAAAGCGUACGUAAUGCCAGAGAAAUAUCAACUAAUCCCUACACUCUUCUGGCCUGUACCCCUCCCUCAGCAUCCAUUCUUCUCCUCUUCCUACUCACCAUCAUCACCAUCAUCAUCAUCAUCAUCAUCAUCAUCAUCAUCAUCACUGUCACAAUGCUGAAACAUGUAUUUCUCUUAAUAUGACCGAUUUUUUAAAAAAGAAGAAAGUCUGAAAAUCAAAAUUAAUCCUUACAGAGUGUACUGCACACACACACACACACACACUCUCUCUCUCUCACACACACACACAGGCAUAUAAACUCCAUGGGGGAUUGUUGUUGUUUCUUAAUCCCGGUGGAUUAACAGACUAACAGACUCAUUUUACCUCAGCCCAAACAAAGAGAGAUGUCAAAUCAUCCACCCAACGCUAAAGGUGAUGAUCGUAUUAACAUGAUGAAGCUCUCUGUCUUUAUGACUGAGGGGGGGGGGGGUUCGUGUGGUGGGACUUAUCUGGACCCCCCUGUAGAACCUCACCUGUUGGGACAGACUGGCGUGCCUCACACACGCCGCUCUGGUUUAUAUUCUACGUCAGCUCGCGGCGUUGCGGCGCCCGGCUCUCUGACUGCACAGAAGUCAUUAGCCGACGUGCUAACUCCAAUAUUCUCACCGAGCUGUGAGCGUAAACUGCUUAAAGACGUAAUCUUAUAUGCUCGGUAGGAAACGCAAUGUUCUGUCAAACAGUGGUGCUGCUGCAGAGAGGCCGCUAAUCCACAUGCUAGACUCCAGAUUAACCAGAGGGGAUGGGGAUGCAGGCGAGGCGAGGGAGGGGUUAAAAACACGCCGCUUGGACCCACCCCCACCUCAUCAUCACACACACACACACUCAGAGGAUCGCGCUCCCCCUCCCUUCAGAUUAUAGCGCUUAGUGCUGCCCCUGUGCGACAGACAGUAAAGAGGAUCUCUGGGCGGCGUCCCCCAGGGCCCCGUUAUUGGUCUUCUAAAGAAGCCCCCCCAGACUGGACACCUACAGAUAGGGUGGGGGUCAGGGGUCAAGGGGUAGGAAAGGCUGUGAGAUGGAGAGGUUAUAACAGAUACAUCUGUUUGUUUUGAUGAGAGGGAUUACGGCGACUAAAGAGGAGAGUGCGGCGUUUUAGGAGAAUGAAAACUGAAUCUGAUCGACUUCCUAUCAGAGCCGGCGAUAAAACGAUAACGAUAUAUAUCAAUAUAAAACAUGAUCAAUAUCCUUUCCAAUAGUCGUCACUCUGACAUGUUUUGGUCGACUAUACGAACAGCCAAUGAAAAGGGGCGUGUCUCCGGGUCUGAACCAAUCAUGUUCUGAAUUAGAACCAAGUAUCAACCAACUGCAGCGUCGUAGCAGACAGCAGCUCCACCCAACCAUAGCACUUUAACAGGUGAAGCCGACAGCACUGUUGGUGAGAAACAAAGAAAAUGAGUGCUACCCCCGACAGAAAUGACCAUGAAGGCUCAACAGAUGACCACAUCAAUGUCAACCACAACACUGGCGUUAGGAAAACGUCGGUGGUGUGGAGGUAUUUUGGUUUUUGGAGGUCGGACAUGAAGCAGAGUAAUGUGGACUGUAAAUUAUGUCGAGUACAUGUUCUCACAAAGUCGGGGAAUACCUCAAAUCUUUUUCACCACCUGAAGCAGCGCCACGCCGCAGAGCACGCGCAACGCAAAAGGUUACAAACCCCGAGAGGAGCGAGGAGCCGAAACAGACGACCAUUCAGACGGCUUUCUCCAAUAAACACUUUUACAUUUUUAUAUCCUGAUAUUGAUCGAUAUCAGCUGAUAUGAACAAAAAUAGAUCCUGAUAAACUUUCUCCCAGCUCUACUCCCUAUUACUCAAGACAACGCUGCAGGAAGUGACAUCAUAAAAUGACUCUUGAAAGGCUGAGAAAGCGCCCUCUGGAUCAGACCGGGUGGUUUCCUCUUCAGCCCUCUUUCAGGAACUCUCAGUGAAUAUUAAAUGAAGACGCUGAUUUGCAAAGCUGUUGCCGUAUCCUCUCUUGGUUUAUAUCAUUACCGACCACUUCAGAAAAUCAACACAACCAUCAAGUACCCCGCUGAACAUGAAAGCCUCGCACAGUCCCAGUCUGCAAUUUUCUCCUGAUUUCAACGUCGACGUUUAUUAAGCUCUCCCGAAGAAAUCGACGACGGCUAAAUUAUUUUGAGAGAGCGCCUCGGGCUACAGCCGCGUACUCGAUACUCCUACCAAAAUAUAUAUAUAAUUAUAUAAAUAUAUAUAUACGUAUUAAGAGGAACAAGGAGGAAGGAGAAAAAGGGGGAAAUGACUGAAUCAAAGUAAAACUAGAUUUAAUAUCUUAAUGGCUUUGUGUCAAAAAAAAGAGAAAAACAGAUAAUAGAGAAAUCCAAUUAAAAUCUGAUGAUUGGCACAGUGAGGUAGAGACUGUUUGUCUCUAUAUAAAGCUUUGAUUAGAUGAUGCUCGUUAUAGUAUCAGCCAGUCUAAUAGGUUGUAUAUUUUUAACUCGGAUUUACCACGGGCUCCGAGCACUUAACACAGAAAAAAGGUCCGAACACAAAUAAUGGAGCCGGUCUGUGCAGACGCCAGGAUCAGGCUCUUUGAUUUGCAUGACCAGAUGAAAUUAUUCAGAGAGAGAGAGAGAGAGUGUGUGUGAGUGUGUGUGUGUGUGUGUGUGUGUGUGUGUGUGUGUGGUGAGAGCUUCCCCUAAUGCCUCUCAAGGUGACUCGGCCUUCCUCCUUCAGGGCUUUCCUUUCAAUUCUUUUUGGGAUUGAAAUUAUGAUGAAGUAAUUUUUCUGCAGAAAUUGCCUAUGUCACUUGUGGUAUCUCUCGGCAAAUUUCUCAAGUGUAUUUUCAAUCUCUCUCUCUCUCUCUCUCUCUUUCUCUCUCUGACUCUCCAUCUCUCGCUUUCUUUCUCUUUCUCUCGUUCGACACGUCGAUAUGUCAAUGUCACAUUUCACCGCCAUCGCAGCGAGAAAUGAGAGGCAGUUUGGCGUUUGAGAGGAAGAAGAAGAAGAAGAACGAACCUCUCUUUGCUGUUUGGACACGCAGUUAUUCUACUCUCAUAUAUAUAUACAAGAGCAGAGCGAGACACGUGCAGAGAAACUCACAGAGUCCCAGACACAUGUGCCCCCCCCUCAAACACACACAGACACACACAGACACACACACAGACACACACAGAGUUAUAGUCUCAGAGUGAAAAAUCACCUGCUUGUUUCAGGGGAAAAUAAGAGGCAGAGAGGAACAUGUCGUCAGAUCGGAGAGGGAGAUUCCUCAGAGACCUGUGGCCUAAUUUCUUAUUUUCAAGAGGAAACUUAUCUAAUUAUAUAUAAGUUAACUUCCUAGUGGUCGAUUCAAGGGCAGCGGCGCCGACUGAUACGAAUGAAGAGCCUUAAAAGAAACAAGGAUAACACAUUUACAUCCUGCUGUUUCUGUCGACGUUCGUCUCCAUCCCUCAGUCCUCUGUUCACAUCAGGAGCCUCAGCACUGAGCACGCUCAGAUACCAUAAGUGUGCGUGUGUGUGUGUGUGUGUGCGUGUGUUAAACAUGCAGGAGAGUGUAUUCUGAAAUAAUUAGGACAGUUGUUUCUCCUCCUGUUUGCUCAGUUUUAACAGCAAAAGUCAAAGAUGAACAAAUCCAGAUUCUCUCGCUCGGUCGUGUUAAUUCAUUCACGCUCAAUCCACACAGAUUAUGAGCUUUAAUUCACUUAUGUGCUGGUAUUUCCCCUCAUAUGAUGCAGAUUAAUGCAGGAAGGUACUUUAAAGUCUAAUCAGAUCGUCUGCUCGAUGGGUGGGGGGGUUGAAAGUGUGAAGUGUCUGCUGGCGGGACACGAUUUCACAGCAGGCAGCGGGUUUAAAGUUUUCUGAACAAAACUCGGAGGGCCUCGGUUUCAGCGGAGCUUCAGUCUCUUCAACGUUUUCUGGAGUAAACAGAGUCAGAUAUUAUUAUUUUUACAGAAUAUACAAAUAAACUCAGAGACAAACUCUUAAAUAUAAUUUAAUGUGACUCUAAUUUCGGGUUUUUCUCCACUUCCUGAAACCAACAUUGUUCAGUAGCGUUGUACGCAUUCGGCGGGAGAGUCACUGUGAUGACGCUCGGCUCAAACAGCGUAUCCCCCGGUGAUCUACUCAAUCUCUGUCCUCCCAUUGGCUCUAUCAGGUGUCAAUCAUAGAAAACAUGAACCCCCUAAUAACUUUUAAAAAUGGAGCUGUACAGAAAAAAGAGGACUUGAGCUCAAACCAGUCUGACAGUAACUACAUGUCAACAUCACAACCAGGGGGGAGAAACAUUUAUAUUCUGUGUCAUUCAUUUAUAAAGUUUGUCCACAGCUCCAUAAGGAGGCGGGGUUUAUGACCU